UUUUUUUUUGUAAUAGAAAGUAUUUGUCAUAUAAAAAUGGAAUGUUGAGAAAACUUAUAAAAAUAUUGUAUAUCCUUUUAAAUAAUUUAACAAAUUUUAGCUAAUUAUACAAUCAAGAAUUCCACUAAUUUUUUUUUAUAAUCAAGAAUGUCUCAUCAUCAUAUGAGUAAAAAAAUUAAUUUAUUUGAGGUAUAUGAUUAUUCUUCAUAAUAAAUAUUAUUUAGAUGAAUCAAAUUAUUAACUUUUUGAUCGACAUCUGAUAACCUUAGCUUAAGCUCACAAGUCUUCAUUUACAUUCUCUAUGUUAUAAGCUAUUUUUGUCAAAUAAACCAACAUUUUGUCAGCUAGUAUUACCUUGAGUCUGUCCAUUAUGCCAUCUAUCUGUUGUAAUAAAAAAUAUGUCAUUUCAUGUACUACUGUUUAUGAUUGGUUAAAAAAUGUAUAUAAAUUAAAAUUUUAAUAAUUAAAUAUUUUUUUGACCAAUCAUAAAUAAUGUCACAUAGAGUGAUACCCUAGAGAUGUUCACCCACGUUCUAUCUAAUAAUAAUGGCAGUUUGCUACAAUUGUGGGCUGCAUUUUUUUGGGCUUUGUGCUAAAAAUAUUUUAAUCCCAAAAGCUAUUAUUUGAAUAAAAAUCAGUUCUGGCAUUUGGUGUUUGGUUGGGCUGCUCCAAAAGAAUACAUCCCUCUCCUACGCCAGAUAACAGCCCUUAUGUUGAAGCACCUGAAUAGAAUAUUGUUACUUCAAGUGGUAUAAAAUCCUAUUAGAUUUUCAGGAUAAUUAAAAGAUCAAAAAUUUGAUUUCUAAGAGCACAAUAUCACACCUUAAAAAAAAUUAGUUUCUUACCCAAAAAAAUACGAGGAAACCCAAAAAAUGUGUCAAAGAUUCAGGGAACAGAUUUAAUAAAAGUUGUCUCCUAACUAAAGCCAAUCUAUAACUUUAUAUAAACAAAUAUACUCAUUGUCAUUUUAUUUUUAAGUUAAAUAAUUGUAGUAUAUGGUACAAUUCAAGGUCAAAUAUGUAACAUUUUCCAAAUAAGUGCAACGCAUUCUUAUGCUCUUAGCAACAUAGGAAGAUGCAUGCUCUAUCAUACGGAUUUGUUUGUCCCUAAAAGAACAUUCUACCUUAGUUCAGUGUCAUUCUAGGGAUCCUGUCAUAAUAAUAAUGGGUUCAUAGGGGACUUUGAAGGUUCUAAUCAAUCUCAACCAUUCCCCCUCAGCUUACUGGUUUGUGUUCAGUUUGCAUGAUCAGUUCAAUCUUACAAACUGCACCAAAACGAGUUGAUUGAACUGAUCAGGUAAUGAGUAAAACCUUAAAACAUUGUUAUUAUGAUAUGGGAAAAGUAAAGAGUUACAAGUGAGAUAUCGCGUCUUGAAUAAAAACUUUAAGACAAUGAUUAUAUGAGACUUUUUCGUUUAUAAACUAUUUUAUUUGUCACAUCAUAUCUAACAUGAUAUUUUACACGUGAGUAAACCCAAUAAUCUCCCCUUUAAGUCUGCCAUGUCAAAAUUGAACCAUCACAAGUUCCAUUGCUACCGUAGUAUGAGAAAAAUAGAGAAUAUAUGAGAGAUCAACCAAAAUCUUAUGACAAUGAUUUUAUAAGUCUUUUUUAUUUAUAAAUUUUGUUAUUUUAUGUUAAUAUAUGAUUGACUUAGGACAGAGGGUGUGACACCGUUGGAAACAGUGAUUCCCAUCAGGAAACAUUAGUCCAUGCAUCGACACUCGUGACUCCCAAGACUGAAGCAUAUUGCUAAAUUAAAGCCUAUAGUACUGCUAACCAAUUAAUUACUUACAUGUGUUUGAUAUAAUUGAUCAUGAAGUAAUAAUUUUUCAUUUUACCUACAUCUUGUAGGAAGCUCAUGACUUACGUAUUAAGAACAUUGUGACACUUGGUACCCAGAGAGAAAGGGAAGAUUGAUAAACAAGUGUGUAAGGAGAUGUUUAAUUUUGUUAUAUAAGUUAUAUGAAAAUCUAAAAUGUAUAAUUCUACAAACAAUGCAUUGGUCUAGUGGUUUAAGCCUCAUUGAAUCCCUAAGAUCGAAUAUUUAAUUUCUGAUAGCGACAUUUGUUGGUAGAGUUAAUCACGAACCCAAAAAAAUUAAUUUUUUACUAGUAAGAGAUACUCUUAGUAGUACAAAAAAGUAUAAUUUCAAGUAUACCCUUGUAGACAGCAUAUAGAUAGGGUUGUGUUGACUAGAUUGUUGGAGUAAUUUCAAAUUCUCACCUAAAUCGUUUGAAAGUGCAAUUUGUAACACAUGUUUCAAUAAACCCAUCAUCAUCAUGGAGGACAAGAUACUCUCUCGCAUCCAAGUGGAGUUGUUUUUGUACUUUUAUUUUCAAAAGUAAAAAUAUUGUCUCAUCAUAAAUUGAUAAAUUUUGUUUUUGUAGUAUUUAUCUCUUGUGUAAUUGUGAUGAAGAGGAUAAGAAACUAAAAUGUUAAAUUUUAUUUAAUAAUUAAAUAUAUAAAACUUGUGACUUUUUUUAAUACAUAGUUUAUGCAUCUUCAAUAAAAUACAUUCAUUGUGGGUUUUUAUCCUUACCCCUCAGAACUGAAGUUAAUAAAAUAUUUUUUUCAAUAACCCAGCAUGUUGCCAACUUGAAUAACUUAAUUUGGCGUAUUUUGACUUAGUAGAUCGUAGCUUAACAACCAACUUUCUAGAGUGGGUAUGUCUAUUUUUGCUGGUUUCCCACAUAUAUCUUCGUACUGGAGGCAAUCCUGUCCGAGCUAAGAAUAUUUACAGGUACAUGUGGCUAACUCUCCUGACGGACAUUUUUUCUAUCCACAAGACUCAAAUCUGAAACCUUAAGGGGAAUCAAAUAUGUACCACUUGAAUUAACCAACUUUUAGUAGGAAUGUCUAUUUGCUGCAGUAUAAGGAUUAUUGAGAUUCAAUUACUUGUUUGUACAACUUAAUCUAAUUCUUAUUUGCUCGUUUGCUUUUUUUAUUAAUAUGAAAGAUGUAGAGUUCACAACCAAAAACAAUUAUGAAGAAAAACAUGAUUGAUUGACAUUAGGAAUAAAUAUUUGGAUUGUGUAAAUAUAUAUAUAUAUAUAUAUAUAUAUAUAUUAAACUGUUAUUUAUAACUUUAUUACAAAGGAUAUAAUUAAAAAUAUUGUUUACUAUCCAUGGUAUUUUCAUCAUAUAUAGUUAUUGAAAUUUACGCCCAAACAAAUUCUUUUUGUCUUUUUUACUUACAUAUGUAUGCUAGGCUUCUAUUUUGUAGGUUUAAUAAACACUAAAAUUUAAUAAAUAUAUUGAAUCAUGUUGAUUGGUCUAUAUUAAUUAAAUGAAUUUACAAUUUGUAUGAUUUAUUUGAAUAACAAUAAGAAAAAAAUUAUGCUUAGUUACAUUUUUAGUGUAUCUUAAAAGUUAAAAAACAACAACUAAUAGUUGUGGAACAUAGAUCAUCAUGAAUAACAUUUUCAUCUUAAAAUAUGUCUUAUCUUGACUUCCUUUCACACUGACAUAAAUAAGUGCUAUGGCUAUUUAAAAAUAUUAAUAAAUGUUUUAAUAACAUUAUUUAAGAAUUUAAUAAUUAAAAUAAAAAUUUGAAUUUUUUAAUCAACACAAAUAUUGUCUUGAGAAUACUUUAUAUUGUGAAGAUAUUGGAAACAAUAGUUCCUUAGCAUCAAACAAAAACAAUAUUUUCUAACAAUAUUAUAUCUUUUAAACAAUGACUCUAGAGUAAUAUUGCUAGUCAUAUAUAUAAUCAUUUACUAAAUAAAAUAUAUUUAAAAAAAAACAAAAUUGAAAUAAUGAGUUGGUAAGACAAGAGUGGUAGGAGGACCACUACCACUAGGAUUCUUCAUUAUCUUCAUUCCACCUUUCAUAAAUUAAAGAGUAAAAAUGACCAUUUCUAAUUCAAGGCCUAAGAAUUUCGGCUUCAAGAAAAUAUCUUGUGGUCAUAACAUAUCCUUACAAAGAAGAAACAAAAAAUUAAAGCAAAAAGCCCUUUGAAAUGUGCAAUUCCUCAUACUCAAUAGUAUGCAUAGGGCUCAUAAAUAAUGAUAAUGGUAAGAUUCUAGGACCGGAUCACCUGUCCUCAUUCCUGUUCUAUUCGGUAUCCUCGUUUAAUUAAAAAAUUUAACUUAAAUAAAAAAUAUAUUAUAAUAAUAUAAAUUAAUAUUUUCACAUUAUUGUAUGUAGUUUCAUUAGCUAGGUACAUGGGACAGGAAUAUCUUGGAAAAGACAAUCCUAAGAUUACUAGAAAGCUAACUAGCUAGGUUGGGGACCUCAUAUGCAUUGCAAAAAUGUGGCGGUGGGGUUUGUCUUGGGUUUUAGGGAAAUGCCAAUACCAUAAUCUCCAUAUUUUAAUGCAUCAUAGGUUAAGGCUAAAGUUUUUUUAAAAUUUAGUAUAUUGUGCAUUAUUUAUAUAUAUUAGUUUUAUUUUAUAGUGGAUGAUAAUUAAUAUAUGAAUAUUGGAUGAUGAUGAUAUUUAUUUUGUGUUUGCAAAACUUUGAAUAUCUCCUUCUUCUCACACAUUAAACAACAAACGAGAAACUAUUUGAUGAUAUAAUUUAUUGGGACAACUCCUCUCAUUUAUGUGUUUAACUAAUGGUAUUGUUCACUUAUGAAAGAACUAAACUUUGUAAAGAUUUAAAGAAACGUAUGGUUUCAUUAGAGUGUCAUUAUCCAACACAAAUGAUACUAUAGUUAAGAAACUCAUGACCCUGUUAAGAGACCAGCAAAAAUGCUUCAUAUAUAAGUAAAGAUUUAGCCAUUGAUAUAUAGUUUAAUAUAAUUUCAUUAAAUCCUUAAAUAAAUUAAAAAGUUAAAUUUUCUAUUCAUAAUAAUGACAUUUAUUGAGAGACAAUUACAUAAUCUAAAUAUAAUUAUUUCCUUAGUUAUAGAGUAAUUAAAAUACUUUUUGUUAUACAAGAAAAAAGUUAUCCAAUCGAUCUAUUUAUGUGUUCUUUUAUUACUGUAGCUUGCAACAAUUAUAAAUGACACGAUAUAAUACUUACUAGCUGGGUCACGACCAGGUCGCUCUCUUUAAGACGUUUCGUGGCACUGCCAAAAAUGUGCAAGCAGACUAUCAACUACACCGUCCCCGGAAUAAAACAGUCGAGAUCUCUGUUAUCGAAUUCUUAUUGCACUGUAAGAACCGAUCUCGAAUACACCCACCAUAAUAUGACUAUCAGUGUCAAUUCUUGAAAUAUUCACAACAUGGCUACAAGUGUGAGUUCUCGAAAUGCCCAUAAUAUGACUACCUGUGCCAAUUCUUUUCCCCCUCAUUACUGACUACCAGUGUCAGUUCUCAAAAUGCCCACAUGUGCCAAUUAUUUUCCCUUGAUACUGACUACCAGUGUCAGUUCUCGAAAUUCCUACAAUAUGACUACAUGUACCAUUUCUUAGUGCCACAUAAAUAAAGGGGAGAAGUUUGCCGAAAAUGCAUCGACGAAAAAUAUUAGAGAGAAAGAAAAAGUUGAAUGAAAGCGCAUUCAACUUGUGGCAAAAAAAUAUGAAGAUAAGAUACUUCUAUUUAUAACAUGAGAUCUUUUCAUGUUCCUAAUCUCUUCAUUGUGAGACUUGGGAGUUGUUUUCUUUCAAAACUCUUCCAUGUGAGACUUGAGAAUAUUUUAGAUUUCACAUCCACAACCAAGUUCCAAUAUGUUCACAUUUAAUGAGGGAUUCACAAGGAUAACAUGUAAUGUAGGAUAAUAUAUUUUAUUAUACUUGAUUUGGUUUAAAAUAUAUAUUAAAAUAUUAAACUAAAAAUCAAAUAAUUCAAAAAUUUAUCUUCAAAUCAAUCAAAUUGAGUGAAGUACAAAAUGACAUACAAAUAUAAUAGAGGAUAUGUUCGUUCAUACCAAAAAAAGUCCCAUCCUUUAUAUGUUAGAAGAUCAAGUUAUAUGAUUGUAGAGUAUGGAACAAUCAUAACUAAAUAAUUUUUUAACUGGUGGCUGGCAGAAUUGAACAAUAAUUGUAAUUAAUGGCAGUUGAAGACUAAUAUGCAGGUUCAAGUGGUGCAUACUUGAUUCUUCUUAAGUAAUGUUUCAGGUUUGAGUCUUAUGAAUAGAAAAAAUGUCGUUAAUUCUACGUACCUGUUGAUGUUCCCGUCUCGAACAAGAUUAUCUUUAGUACAAGAAUAUACGUGGGAAACCAAAAAAAAUGGUAGGGGAAGAAGUUGAUAGGAUCAUGUAGAAUAAUAAUACUUUAACUACCGGUUGUUUGGAUGAAUUUUUGGAUAAUAUUAUGUUGUGAAAUGGGUCCAUUAUAUUCAGAAAUCCCCAGAGACCCCAUACUCAUCACAUCUCUGGCCCUUCAAUUAAUUUUGGCACUAUAUAUUAUGACUUGAGUGAGACCGACAUAAAUGUUAAUCUAGAUUUAAUUUUGAAUAAACAACUAAAUUCAAUUGAGGGUCAAUUUACUAGAAGAUUGCAAUCUCAAUUAGACUUUUAUUUUUAAUAUAUACUAAUAUCCCAUAUUUAAAUAUUAAAAUAUUGUCUUUACUUUUUAAUUCUUAUUUUAGUUUAGUUGAUCAUAUUAUUUUAGUCCUUAUGGGUGACACACCAAUUAAUUUCCUCAUCAAUAUUUGUGUUAAUCACUCCGGAAUAACGCCAUAAAGUUCAGAAUAUAUAAGGGAUCAAAACCCAAAAAAUAAGUUUAUCUAAAAUAAAAUUUCAUAUAUUUUUCAAGGUAAAAACAUAUUUAACCGUUUUUAAUAUCGUCUAGUAUAUACCGAGAUAUUGAUCUAGCUUAAAUCUUUACUGAAUCUCCAUGUAUCACACUAGAUCAAACUAAAUGUUCGAUUUAUAUGAGUGAUAUUUAUUGAAGGGACAUACAUAUAUCAUGAAACUGUACAUUGGUUAUCCCAAAAUAGUAUAUAUUAUUAACGGAUUAAAUAAUAAAUGAAUUAAUUAAAUUAUUCCUACAUCAAUACAAUAAAUGAAACAUUAAUAAAUAAAAAAUAAUACUAAGAUUCACAAUAAGCACAAGUAAAUUACCAUGGGCGCUAACCGCUAAGCAUCAAACAACUAGUACUAUUCUUCUUGAUUCUAUUUUUGAGUGGUGGGAGGGACCAUGCAAUGUCAUAAUGGAAGGUAUCAUCCGUAUUUCACUAUCUAUUUUAAGUCAAUUAAAAUAUUACAUUUUAUUAUUUUUAUUUUUAAAAAAUUUCUUUUAUUUAUAUAUCAAUAUAUGAUUGAUUUCGGAUAGAUUAUACGACAAUAUUAGAGACAUGUGAUCCGAUUAUGUCAUAACCAAAUAUGAAACUUCCAUAUAAAUCUAGACAUAACUCCAACUUAACUUAUGUUGUCUAACUUUCUCACAUUUUUCUCUCAUAUAUAGUGUCACUUAUUACAAGUUUGUUUGUCUCUAUCUAAGGAAAUAUGUGUGGGGGAGCUAUCAUCUCUGACUUCAUUGGUGUGAAGCGUGGCCGGAACUUGGUUACCCACCAAGACCUAUGGGCUGAGCUUGACCCUCUCUCUGAUCUCCUUGGCUUUGAUGCCACCAACCCUACUUCUAAGGACCAACAACCACCACCCUUCUACUUUGAUCAUAAGCCACCUCAAAUCCCACAAACCAAAGGUAUGUGUACCUAAUUCAAUAAAAUUAUGUUACUUACUAAUACUAUAUACUUUCUUCAUAUUCCUAUCUAACUUUUUUGUCACCCUUUCUUCAUGGGUAUAACUAUAUACUUUUUUGUAUUUGAUGCUAUUGAGUUAGAGUUUCAAUUCUAGGAGUUUAACUACUAGUUUAUUGCUUUAAUUUAUUUACAAAAAAACAAAGAAAGUUACCAUUAAAAAUCAAGCAAAACUUUUUCUUUUUCCUUUUAUGAGUAAUUAUCAUCUAAAUUUUGCUCUCAUGACAUGUAAUUUCUUUUAACAUUCAUCUGGGUAUGUCAUCAAUUAGUUUCUUGGAUACAUGAGCCAGUUAUGCUUAAUUGUUUAAGGGGUAUGAAUGAAAAUGAAGUGAAGUUCAAGCAUUCACUUUUGUUUUCUUAUGAAAAAUAAUUCACUUCUUUGACAUUUACAAUAUACCUUUUUUUAAUUUUUCUUUUACUUACGUUUUCCUAUAUCCAUCAACUAAUAAAAAGCAAAAGAAGAAAGAAAAGGCAAAGUUGAUAGCUUUCAAGUUUUUAACUCAAGAAUCUAAAAAAGGGUAAAUAAUCUUUUGAGAUAAAAGCCAAUUUGAAUUACUUUUUUUUUAUAAACCUGAUUAUCAUUUUAUGUUUUUACAUUAUUUGUAUAAUAUAUAUAGAACUAUAUAUUAAAAAAUCUUAUUAAUUUAAACACAUAAUUUAAUAAUUUACUACAUAAAAAUAAUGUUUCUAGAUGACAUAUAAUCACAACUAUCACAAUACUUUAUCUUCACCAAUUAAAUCAAAAACAUAGUCAAAAUAUGGAUUACAUUACACACCAGCAAUCAAACUUAGACAAGAGAACUACAUAAUAAUUAUGAGAUAAUGUAGCAAUAAUAAAUGUGUGUGGCAAUGGUAGAAUCUGACAAGGAAAAGAAGAAAAACUUGAAGGUUGUUGCCAUAAACAAUGAGUAUUCUCAUGAAGAAGCUCCUAAGGGCAUGGCUAAGGGUAAGGUUCGGAAGAAUGUGUAUAGAGGAAUAAGGCAAAGGUCAUGGGGAAAAUGGGCAGCUGAGAUUAGGGAUCCUUAUAAGGGUGUCCGUGUCUGGCUUGGCACCUUCAACACCGCCGAGGAAGCCGCUGCGGCCUACGAUAAAGCCGCCAUUCGCAUCCGCGGUGACAAGGCCAAGCUCAACUUCCCUUCUCCGCCUCCAGCUAAGAAACGUUGCAUCAACCAUGAUACUGUUGGUGAGGGUUUUGACCUAAAGCAACAAAUCUCAGACCUUGAAUGGUUCCUUGAGUUGGAGAAUGAACAACCUAUGCAGCAGUUCAAUAGUGUUGACAAUAAUAACAGCAACAACAUGGAUCUUUGGAUGCUGGAAGACAUCGUUAUGUCCAAUCCUAACUUUGUUUACUAGGAAUGAUAAUUACUUAUAUAGUAUAUGAUUGGAGUAUUAAAUUUGGACCAUGCAUGUUGUGUUUAUAUGUAAUGUUAUUUCUAUACUUAAUCUCUAUAUUAAUGAUAUGUUUACGAGUUUGGUUUUGGAGAGGGGAAAAUAGAAUAUGAAUGUUUCUCAGCCAUGAAAUACACUUGUGAUAUGAUUUUGGAACUGUCUAUUUCCUUCCAAAACUCAGCUCACACAUAGGCUCUAACUGUUUGUUUAUUAUCGAGGUGAUAUUUGGAGGGUAUGGAAGGGGAAUAAAAUACUUUAAAGUUAUAUCACAAAUAUAUUUUAAGAUUUUCAAGUAUUUCCUUUACUUUUAAUUGUAGUAUUAUGUUUCCAUAGUACAAUUUAUGUGCCUUGUAUAAUAAUAUAUGUUGGUGUUUGUCGUUUGUGAAAUGUGUAUUUUCAAACCUCUGUUUAUGAGAUUUUGGUGCAUGAAUCUGAUCACUGACUCUCUAGAUCAACUUGAAUGUUAUAGUAGUUGAUUAUUUAUUUAAAAUCUUGCUCCAGAUUUGAUAACUAUGUAAUUAUUUUAUAGUCUCUGUUAUCUAUGAAGACAUUAAUUAAUUUUCGGAUAUAGAUCGGUACCAUUCUUAUACUAUCUUAUUUUGUAAUUAUUUUCAACUUAGUUUGUACUUUGUAAACAUUUAUAUUAACUUACAUGUCAAUAAUGAACACAAAGAAAUAAAUAUUAAUUUUUUUGUAAGGAUAAUUUACAUGGACUAGAUAUUGUAGUAGUUAGAUUCAUCUAACAAAGAAGCUUCAAAGAUGAAACCUGGUCAUAACAUGUAACAAAGGAAUCUAUGCGUUUGACCACUCAAAUUCAGAAACAUGGAACCCAAAACGGUCAUAUACAUACAUGAAUGAAUAGAGAUUAGUUUAUAUCCUAUUUAAGUUACACUAGUUAUAUUUGAUCUUAGUUAUUCAUUUUCUUAGAUCCAACUGAUGAAAUGGGUAAAUGCAAUAAAUGAUGAGAAAGAAAAAUAGAAAUCUUAAAUAAUUUUUAAAUUUUACUCAUUUAGUUUGUUGAAUCUAAGAAAAUAAAUGACUAAGAUUAAAUUAUAACGUGGAAUAUAUAUUUUGCAAGUCAAAUCAUAGUGCUUUUAAGUUGGCGAGUUCACUUCAAUAAUUUCAUGCUGAAAAAAACAAAAGUAGAUAUGCAUGAACCAAAUCUCAUUUUCGACACCCCAAACAUUAGUGGGACCCCAAUAUCAAGUGUUGGAUUUUAAAUUAUUCUAUUAAUCAUAUUUAAAUUUUAAACACAAUAGAUUCCCAUAUCUUGAGAUGAAACAGGAAAAGCAAGUAAAAUAUAAGCUACUUGAUAUAGAGAUGACACUUAUUUACUUAAAGAAUGAUAAAUUUUUCUUUAAAAAAUAAUCGAUUAGUCUGUUAAUUUUUUUAAGUUUUUAAAGUAUCAUCCUAUAUUAGGAUAUGAGAUUAACGCUUUGACCAAAGUGAUAGUUAAGGGAAAGUAUUAAUUGCAUUUAGAUUGAGUAGGCCCAAUUUUAACCUCUAAAAAUUAAAGUGAAAGUAUUUUUGUCCUAAAAUAAAUUAACCAAUGAUAGAAAAAAUAACAUCGUUCUAGUUCGUAGUCCUAUUGCAAGAAAAUAGUAGUAUAUUGGCAAAAAAAAUUCCAACGCUUCAAUUUUGCCAAAGAAAUGUUUAUUUUAUAGUAUUUAGUAUAGCUUCCUUUUAAAAUUAAUAUGAAAAAUAUCAUAUUAUCAGUUUCUUGUAGCUGUCUAGCUAUAUGUUAAGAUUUCAUCUCAAAAUCAAUUGAUUAUGAGAGGAGUAGCCAAACAAGUAUUUAAAUCAUUCCCGAGACAAUGAGGUAGACGAUGUGAGACUUACUUUCUAACACUAUCCCAAAACAAAAGGUGAUAGGUUUUGUAUUAAGAUUUAAUGUUAAUAAUAUCACAUAAAAAUAUUUAAUUACAAUGAUAUAUUUUGUGAAACAAAUCAUACCUAAAAGAAUAAAUCAUACCCAAAAUGAUGUAGAUUUUACUUUUUGGUGUAAUGCUCUAAUCUCCUAUAUUAGUGGCUGAAGUUCCUCCACCUUGUCCUUUUAUUUUUUGUCAUUGCAUCUAGGUGGAACACCCUUUUAAGACACUCUUUCUAUUGUACCUUUCUUUAUAAAAAAAAAUUAAAUUUUAUUCGGGUCAUAAGAUAAGUUAAUAAUUAUGUUGAUUCAUUAAUAAUGAUAAUAUUUGUGUUAAGUACUAAGAGGCUCACAUUGAUUAAACAUAUUAUCAUAAUGGUCAAUUUAUAAUAAUUUGGUUAAACAUCUUGUAUGAGAUUGUUCUUAAGGUGGAAUAUAAUCCUCAAUUGCCCAUAAAUAUAUCAACCAAAUAUUAUUGAUACUCAUAAUGGCGACGAGAAUGUCCAUAAUCCUAAAUUGGGUUUCACUUUUCAUUUUCAUAAUCUUAAAUUGGGCUUAUGGGCCUCUUGUCUAUCAUACUUGGUCCUUACACUCACCUUCUAACUUUCAAUUUCAUUUCAUUUUUCAAUAUAUCAUAAUUUUAUUUUUGUAGUAGAUGCCUAUAGCAUUUACGGUUUAUGAUAUAGGCGUAAGGAUCCUCACUAAGUACCAUACUAGGAUUGAGCAUAGGCCAGAUAGAAAGGGGUUAAAGCUUGUUCUUACCUAGUCAUAAAUGUUGGUUGGAUUAUAUUUUGAACUCGGACCAGACCCAAAGUUAACUCGACCCCUAAAUAUCGACUAAGUCAGCUUUUAAACUGGACUUGAUCUAUAGCCGACUAAAUAUCAUACAUGUUCAUUUUAGAUAAAGUCUUCUCAAUAUUAUUUAUCAUUAUGAAUAUGUAAUUUGAUAUAUAAAAUGAUAUAUAUAUAUAUAUUUAAUCAUGUAUAUAUGAUGAAAAGUUUACAGAAUCAAUAAUAUUUUCGACCAAACAAGUGUUAUAACUUUGAACAUAUUUGAAUAGAGAUAUAUACAAUAUAAUGAGUGAGUGAUCAUGGGAUAGGUCGGGUCAUGUUUGGUCCCUGCCUGACCCUAAAUAUUGAUUGUGUCUAAAAUUUGAACCCAAACUUAGUCAUAGACCUGAUGAGACCCGACCCUAUUCGGACCUGAUCAUGAUCGGGCCAUACUGGGUGAGCGGGUAGGGUCAAGUCCUGCUCACUCCUAUACCACACAAUAAAUACAAAACACAACAUGUAGUGACACUUUUUUUAUUUUGUUUAUUAUGAAAUUACAUUUUAUCAUAGAAAAUAUAAGAAAAAACAAUUAUUCAUCUCUUCAUUAAUGAAGAUGGUCCUUAUGGUAGAAACAUGUUUUUUUACUGUUCUUCUUAACCUCUUAUCAUGAAACUUUCACACCAUAUCUUUAUUACAAAAGCCUAAGUUAACCUCUCAUUCUACACCAAGCUCAUCCAUUAACAAUAUAAAAAUUUAUACACAUCCAAUAUAUACUAUUCACUAUUAUAUUAUAUUACUUAUAUUUAAAAGUUCACGAUAGCUAAAUAUAAAUAAUGAAUGAUGCAAUGAGAAUAUAUAUAUAUAUCUUACGAUAUUAACAUCAAUAGAUACAUUUCUUUUCUCAAAAACAAUUGUGGAUACUCAAUUGCUGUGCAAACCAUUCCACAAUUUGUGGAGCAGUAUUAUGAGACAACCGUAACCAACAAUUUUGGCAUAUAACAUUCUCUCAUUCACUAUUAUCGAGAGAGGGAUAAGAUGAAUCUUAUAAUUUAAAUAAACCAAAUUAUUGAGCAUGUUGGUCAAAUGAUAGAGAGCUUGUCCAACUUAACUCUUGAAUUUGAGCCAUACUUGCAUAACAUUACUUCUUAUAUAAGAUACAUGUCAUAUCAUACAAAAAAUAAGUUUCCAAAUCAUACCAGCCAAAAAAUAAAAGAGUGAGUAUCCACUUAUUCUAAGAAUAAGUUUUUUAAACUUGCUCACUAUCAUAUCCAUCAAUUAUACGGACAUCUAAUGAUUUAUAUCUACUUAAUAAUUGAACUUUCCUAAAAUUGAUGACUAGGACGAGAGUUAGCGAAUCUCUCCUAAAAAUAAAAAUGGUAACAUGCUAGCACAUUAAUAUUACAUAGUAAACCACUAAUGUGCUUUUUGGUAAAUAAUUAAUAUUUUUUUGAGAUAUGUGACUAUCUCUCCUAAAUUCAAAAAUUAAAUAGGAGGUUGUAAGCUGCAUCAUUACUUUAAUAUGUAUGUUAAAAAUACUAUGGAGAAAUUUACAUCCAAAUAGACAUAAAUCUCUCUAAACAAAACUGAAUAUUUUUACCCAUGGUAGUUAGAGUUGUAAUAAUAGGUAAAGAACUUUGUACUUUGAAAUAGGUGGACUUUUCCAUCAAACUCUCUUCUCCCUCUUCUAGAUAUAGUGCAAAGUGGUGUUUAAUCAACAUUCUAGAGGGUUGAUGAAAGUCAUAUAGUUCCAAAAUUUCAAUGAUCCACCUUUGCAACCUCUACCAUAAUCAUUUCAUAAAAUAAUGUAUGUAUGAUAUAUAACUGUCAUUGAUUAUAUAUUAUUAAUAUUUAAUUAUUGUUACUUUUCAAAAAAAUAAUAUAAAUGAAUGAUAUAUGAUAUAUUAAACUGUGUAAAAAUAUUAAGAAUGGGGCAGCCUUUUUCCAUUCAAGAAUUUUUAUUUUAGCUUGCCAAAUUUGACUUAUGUAUUAAUUAUCACGUGUAACCCUUUCAUGUCUUUAUUCAUAGCUCAUGUACUUUUUUACCUUAUGAGGAAAUGAGAAACCUAUUACCAUAAAAAAAGAAGUCUAGGUGAUAAGAAAUGAUCAUUUCUUAGUAAAAUUUCAUAUUUCAGUCUUAUUAAUGUUAAAUAAUUGGUAUGAAAAUAGUGGGCGAUGUGAAAGUUUUUUCCCCUUUCAUAAUUCUUCAAAUACAAAUAUAUAUAGAUGAUAUGGUCUAUUAUUUAUUCGGAUUUUUUAAACUUCAUUAUAAAAUAUUUCAACAAAAAAAGGUGUAGUUUAUUGUUCCACUAACUUAAUCAUAAUUAGUGCUUAGUUUAGAUUUCAUUAUCAUAUUUAGAUGUGAUGUUGUUCCUAUUAAACUCACUUCAAAUUAUGAUAUGUAGGAAUGGUAAAUAAAUGUUGUAGAGGAUGUUUUUUUUGGGUUUCUCAUAUGUAUUUUCGCACCAGAUGUAAUCCUAUCCGAGUCGGGAACAUCCACAGGUACGUGGUGCUAACUCUUCCAAUGUACAUUUUUUUAUCCACAACACUUGAACCCGAAAUCUUGUUUAAGGGAAAUCAAACAUGUAUCACUUGAACUAACGCUUGUUGGUUGUAAAGGAUGUUUUGAUUAAACAAUUCUCAUGAUCUACCCUAUAAUUGUUUAAGCUUUAAAGUAAAGUAGAACCUUCCAAUUGGAAAUUAAGAUAUUUAAUACCUUGAAAAUCUUGAAAUUGUGAAUUUGACAGUUUUUUACUUUAUGAAUAUUUGAAUUUUUUAUGUGCACUCCUACUCAUAAAUUUUAAAAUAUUGGUCUAGUAUUGUAAAGAUUGUUGACUGAAUUCUCAUAUAUAUAUAUUAGACCAAAUAUCAAAUGUUUGAUUUUUUAGAACAACACUUAUUAGAAGUAGAAAAAUUUAGGAGAUACAUUCUAUCAUAUAAUAUGACAAAGGAGAGAAAUCAUGUAAUCUCAAUUAGAUUAACACAACUCCAUUUUGCAAUAAGCAUUUGACAUAAUAGAAAAAUACAUUUAGCCAUCUUCAAAAGAUAACCCCUCAACCAAACACUAAGAAACCCUUCAAAUUAAAGAACCUUUGAUUCAUAUAAAAAAUAAAGUAAAAUAAUGAGCCCUUCAAGUUAAAUAAAGUACAAAACAAUUCACCCACACUUUGAAACAACUUAAUUUUCUUCUUCUUUUGUUUGUUGGAUAAACUAAAUUAAUACAAGUUAUAUCUUGCAGGCUUGGAUUUACAACCUAGUUAGAUAUUUUACACCUAAACAACACAAAAUAAUAAUUACACUUUUUAAAUACAUUUAUUUUUAUAUAAUAAUAAAAAGUUUAAAAUCUAUCCAACUUUAGUAUAAAGUUUUUUUAACUGUCGGCAUAUCAUUUAUCAUUGAUUUAUAUUACUCUUAAUUUUAAUUGAGAGCCAAUAAUAUUUAACAUAUGAAUGAUAAAUAAUUUUCUGAUAGAUAAAAACACUUAUAAUGUUCAUAUGUACGUAUUAAAUUCAAUAAUAAAACCAAUGUGUGUUGGAUCAAGUGAUAGAUGUUUGUGAUUUUCUUUAAGUAAUAUGAGAUUCGAGUCUUAUGAAUGAAAAAUAUCCGCUGAAAGAGGGUUAGAGUCUCAUAUGCCUAUAGUAAAAAUCAAUAAUAAAAGAUUACAAUGCUAGUGAAGAAAACAAACCUUGUGCACUUUUUCUUUCAUUGGCGUUGUUCACUGUUCAACUCUGCCAUUAUUAUUUAAUAAUAAAAUCCCUUUCUCUUUCUCUCUCUUUGAAUUUGGAUUUGGGAUCUAUAAACUCGAACGACGUCGUUGCAGCUCCUUCUCUUCCGAUUCAAUUCUCUUUUUCCGGCGAAUCAGGUUCCGAUGGCGACGGAGCAGUUUAUGUCCGGGGACGGUCCCCGCUAUGUUCAGAUGAAUUCAACGCCGCCGUCGUCGCCAGCAGCAGAGGAGAUGACGUCUGUUCCGUCGUUCCGGCACGGUGGCUGUGAGACCACUCGGAUUUUUGAAGAAUUGCCUAAGGCCGCCAUCGUUUCGGUGUCUCGCCCCGAUGCCAGUGAUAUAAGCCCUAUGCAACUCUCUUAUACUAUUCAGUUUCAGUACAAACAGGUUCCGUUCAAUUUCUCGUUUUCUCUUAGCGAUUCAGCUUUUGUCGAAUGUUUCAUAUAAAUUCUAUGAUCUAAAACACUGAAGGCAAUAGAAUAAGUAGCGAAGAAAAUCAUAUGAGAUUGUUUCAUAUAUUUGAAUCUAAUUACUUCUUGUUGUUGCUGUGUAUGUGUAUAUGUAGGUUGUUAGGUGAACUGAGCAAAGGUUUGUUUGAAAAGUAGAAAUGGAUAAUGUAAUUGUUAUGCACUUUGUUUUCUGCAAAGGUCUGUUACGUAGGGCACAUUUAUUUAGGUUUAAAAAGGUGAUUCAGCAUAAUUGAUUUUGGCAAAAAUGAAUUUUUGAGAAGCUAAUAAGAAUUUCUUCUAAAAUAAACUGAAUUUCAUUUUUUUUGUUCGUUUGUAAAAGCUCAACCAAACAAAUGUGUAAGUGCCAAAAAUAAUUUUUAAUCAAAAUAAUCACUUUUGUGUGUGAAUAAGGCUUAGACAAACAAGCUGCUAGUUGUAAAUAGCUUUGGCCUUUUAGUUUUACUUGUGGUUUUCCUCAGUUAACACUUUAGUCUUUUUCACAUGUUUUCUUUUCCAACUUGGUUGGAUGAUUUCUUCAGUUCCAUUUCCACUGUUAGCCUUUAGAUUAAUAAAUUAUAUGCAUUUUACAGUUUGGUAUUCUCCAGUUUUGUUCUGUUUGUUUUGGAUAAUACAUUAGACAUUCUUUUUAUGCGUGGAUGGAGGGAUUUUUAUACCUUCAGGUAGCGUUUGGUAACCUUACAACUACAAGAAAGGGACAGAACUGGACAAAUGAGUUAUGUCCCAUGUGUGGUGCAAAUUAAUGAUAGAACUGAACAGGACGAUCGGGCAAAGGAAUGGAUCAUUUUUGGUUCCACUAACUGAUAAGGAACACAACCAUGUUCCUAUACUUAUUAUAAUGACAACAUACUCACAUACAAACCUGGGUCUCAUAACUUUCUUCGUCCAUCUUCUUCUCCCUACUUCCAGGGAUCUGCGACCUCUUGUUUUUUUGUUUGUUAUUUAUUGAAAUUGCGUUCUGGAAUGGUGACUAGGCAAGGCAUAUUUGACUGGUUAGAACUGGGAAUUUGCUAAAAUUGUUCAGGAGAUGAGUUUUGAGGAAGAUGACGUUGUUGUUGCUUUUGCACUUUCUGCCAUUUUUGUACAAGGGGACAUGGUUAGUGAAAGUGUGAGUUUGAGUCAGCACAUUGACCAUAUUCUGUUCCAAUUUCACGAUUUAUCUCUUGCAAUACUUGACCACGUUACCUAGUUAUGCAACCCAUCUCUAUCCACCAUUUUCAUAGGUUCCAUUAAAUCAAUUCAAAUGGUGUGAUAGAAUAGUCAAAGUCUGGGGAAUAGAGAGUGAUGAAUAUUCAAACUUCAAAUUCAUACAAAAAUAUCAUAUAUAUAUAUAUAUAUAUAUAUCUGUAAUUAGUGAUAGCGUUCUGUUCCACUUGUCCAACACCAAACACAGAACAGGACACAUUGGUCUGUUUAGUUCUAUGGUUACCAAAUGCAGUACACAGGACAUAUCUAUGCUUUGUUCCAUUCUGUUCUUUUAUGUUCCAUCUUGUCUGUGUGCCAAAUGCUACUUUAGUGUCCUUACCUUGUAUGUCUCCCCGUUUAGAUGGUUGGAUGUAAGAAACCUGUGUUGAUAAAUAGUGAUUGUUUCUUAUUCAUUUCAUUUAGUCUUCUUUCCUACAGGAGUAAUACUUAUAUAUCUCAUGUUCUCAUUUUCAUUCCAGUUCAAGUGGGAGCUAGUGAAGAAAGCUUCUCAUGUAUUUUAUUUGCAUUUUACGUUAAAGAAACGGGUCUUUAUUGAGGAAAUUCAUGAGAAGCAAGAGCAGGUAUGGGAUAAGCAUUUUAAUUAUAUCAUUUUUGUUUUUUGGCUAAUAUAAUAUAUAAAUGGUUCUUAGAUUUAUUAUGCUACUCAAUGAGAUUAUGUAUAUCUGGCAAAGUUUGGAUUUUGAUGUAAUGUUCAUUCAAACAUUAUAUUAAAGGUUAAAGAAUGGCUUCAAAAUCUAGGAAUAGGAGAACACACUUCUAUGGUACAGGAUGAUGAUGAAGCUGACGAUGAAACAAUUCCCUUACAUACUGAUGAAAGUGCUAAAAACAGGUGACCCCCAACAUGCAACUAUUGUUGGAGCACUCUUACAGUUGCAAUAUUUUACUCUGUGGCCAUAAUUUCUUAUAAAUUUAUUUUUUGUUUACAGAGAUGUUCCAUCUAGUGCUGCUCUACCAAUUAUACGGCCAGCCUUAGGUAGACAGCAGUCUAUAUCAGACAGGGCAAAGAAUGCGAUGCAAGGGUAUCUGAAUCACUUUUUGGGAAAUAUCAGUAUUGUUAACUCUCCUGAGGUACACUCUUUGCAUGAACUUUUGAAAACUGAUACUUAAUAGGAGCUGUUAGUAACUGUCUGACAGUAACAGAGUCUGCACAAUAGUAACAGGGUUUGUAUGAAAUAUUUUGUUUUCAGUUGAAUUCCAUGACUAUUUAUGUUUUGUUAUGAGCCAUUUGUUUGGUACUUCAUCCUCUCCAUUGAUUUUGUUGUUGCAUUUCUGUUUUAUUUAAGGAUCACUAGACACUUACGUUACGUUAAGCAAUUUUAUGCCAUAGGUUUGCAAGUUUUUGGAGGUAUCAAAGUUAUCUUUUUCACCUGAAUACGGCCCUAAGCUGAAGGAAGAAUAUGUAAUGGUGAAGCAUCUGCCUAAAAUUCCAAGGGACAAUGAUUCCAGAAAGUGUUGUAUGUCUGGAUGUUUUAGUUGUUGUAAUGACAACUGGCAAAAGGUAAGAGAAUCUGGUUUUGAAGGUGUCAAUACUCAAUAUGAUUCACUUGUCUUGGUUUCUAUUGGUACAUGUAAAAACUAAAUAAAUUUGCACGUGACAUUUAUCCUCUACUGAGGAAGUCUACAUAUAUACUUAUACCAUCUGUUAUGUAAUGAGAAGCCACUCAUUAUAAUACUUUGAUCAUGGCGAACAAGUGAUGGGAAUUGAGAAAACGAAUGAAAAUCAGAGAGAGAAGAGAACCUGUUACUAACUGAAAACUUGCCCACAACAGAAUAAGGAAGGUACCUAUAUAUUAUCUCAACUGUAGUGACAGCUAUCAUACAAAUGUCACUAACUGACACUUCCCAAAAGCUUUUAGUGACUGCCUAACAGUAACAGAGUCUACAUAUCAGUAACGUGACUAACAGAAGUAAUUGAUAACUAAGGUAAGUAAUUUGUGCGUACUAUCCACUAUACUCUUAAUACUCAUACAGUAGCAAUGGCGACCUGCAUUGUACUUCCAAAAAGCAAAUCUUUUUAGGUACAUUUUCUCCCUUUUCAAACUUUUGAAACCGAAAGAGAACUUUUAAUUUAUAUAAUAUGCUCUUUUCUCCUGGAAGUCUCAUAAAUAUAAGGUUAUGUGAGUUUGGAAGCGGACCAAUAUCAUGAACUUAAACUAACACUCCUCUCCUCACUUUUCAUUAAUAAAAUAUUCGACAUUGGGUAUUUAAAGUUGAGACUAAUAGGGGAAGUCAACUUUCUAUAGUAUACAUACACUACAGACUAUAUAUGUUGGGAUCGAAGUUUUGUUUGGUUGGAAAAAGAUUAGGGGGAGUGGUGGCUGCCCUAUUCCAAGGCCAAGCAUGCUAUAAACCUCAGUGAGGACUUAUGGUGGUACUUACAAAGUGCUUACUGAGGGGCAUUGCUGGCAGUGGGAACUAAACCUAAGCCUUACGAGUGAAGUUCUUCAUCCUCACCAACUGAACCAACCCCCAUUGGCAUUUUAAUUAUUUACCAGAUCUUGGAUUUUUGCAGACAGUCUGGUAUUUUAUGACACUUUAUAAGUAUCUUUCACUUUAUUUGGUUUAUCUUUACAAUUAUCACUUUCGUGUCUUGGUUUGUACAGGUAUGGGCUGUACUGAAACCUGGAUUCUUGGCAUUGCUGGCAGAUCCUUUUGAUACACAACCCUUGGACAUUAUUGUUUUUGAUGUACUGCCUGCUUCAGAUCGCAAUGGGGAUGGCCGUCUAUCACUAGCGAGCGAAGUGAAGGAACGGAAUCCUUUACGCCAUUCGUUCAAGGUGAGAAGGGUGCUCUUCUCUCUGUGCUGUUGUUUCAUAGUCUUGUGAGUUAAAAGGAUAUAAUGCCGAUUCAUAUUGUCACUGUGCCACAUCAAAUACAUCCCUGAUUUGCUCCUUGAAAUAUUUUGAAACAUCAAUUUGGUACUUGAAAGAUUAGUAACAUCCAUUUGAUCCCAGCUAGCAGAAUUGUUGGACUACUAAAAUGUUAAAAACACAUUAUUCAAAGAGCAAUUUGUUUUAAUGCUAUUUUUUGUGACCAAUUUGAUAUUCUGAAUGCCAAAAUGAAGGCUUGUUAUAGUAUUUUUACUAGUUAUCAGCCAUUUAGCUGACUUAUGGAUUUUUUAGUCUGUUAAUAUAAUAUACAGGAAUAUACUUUUCAACACUUAACUUAAUGCUUUAGGUGACUUGUGGAAUUCGGAGCAUUAGAAUUAGGGUGAAAAGUAGUAGUAAAGGUAAAGAUUGGGUUGCUGCAAUUAAUGAUGCUGGACUCAGGCCUCCUGAAGGCUGGUGUCAUCCUCACCGGUAUGGUUCUUUUGCUCCUCCAAGAGGGCUGAAUGAAGAUGGCAGUCAAGCACAGUGGUUCAUAGAUGGGCGAGCAGCAUUUGAGGCCAUUGCUACUUCAAUUGAAGAUGCAAAAGCAGAGGUUUGAUAUUUCAGUGUCAGAACAUUCAAGGCCACUUUCAUGAUAGUUUUUCUUUAUCUAUUUUUAUCAGAGAAAAUAAUAAUUGUUUUCAAGUUUAUGUUAAAUGAUAGACUAAAAAUACUCGUGCAGAUAUAUAUCUGUGGGUGGUGGCUGUGCCCAGAACUGUAUCUACGUCGACCAUUCAGUGACCAUGCUUCAUCAAGAGUUGAUAGUUUGUUGGAAGCAAAAGCUAAGCAAGGAGUUCAGGUAACCUUUAAUAUGAAAUCUUUUACAUGACUUGUCAAUUUUACUUAAGACACUAUUGUUAUGAAUUAUUUUUAUAAUUGAGUGGUUUAAAUUAAAAGAAAUAAUUGCAAUCAUUCCAAGGAUUUGAAUAUGAUAUUGGAUUUCAGUUAUUUUAUAUGUAUUUUUCUUUUACAAUAAUAAUAUUCUUUGGUUCUUGUACUGGAAUGACUACUUAUUCCCUCUUUUUGUUGCUAACUUUGCAUUUUGUUACAAAGUGACUUGUUUUAAGCUUUGGUCAUUGUUAUGAUUAUGAAGGUUUUCAGUUAUCUUGCAUGCCACCUUGAUGAUGCAUGUUUCAAUUGCUUUAUUUCCAUAGAAGUGUUAUGAUUUAUAUGAAUGUUUUUUUCAAAAGCAGAUUUACAUUCUUCUCUACAAAGAGGUGGCUCUUGCUUUGAAAAUCAACAGUGUUUAUAGCAAGAGAAAGCUUCUUAGCAUUCAUGAGAAUGUGAGGGUAUUACGCUAUCCUGACCACUUUUCUACUGGCAUUUAUCUGUGGUAUGCACUUUCCCAAAGCCUGGACUUUUGUCUGUGGUCUUAUGAAGAAAUUAUAUUUUUUUUAUUGACAAGUAUCAGUUUUACUACAAUUUUGGGGGUUUCUUAUAUCUGCUAAUGAUUAUGUACAGGUCGCACCAUGAAAAACUUGUCAUUGUUGAUAACCAUGUUAGCUUUAUUGGAGGACUGGAUUUAUGCUUCGGUCGUUAUGACACAUCUGAGCAUAAAGUAGGAGAUUCUCCCCCUAAAAUCUGGCCUGGAAAGGACUAUUAUAACCCUAGGUGAGUUUUGUGAGUAUAAAAUAAAAUCAUAAAGAAGCUAAAUUUCCAAGUCCAGUUGGCCAUGCUGCGAGAUCAUUAAAAGCUUUGAUCAAGUAAAAAAGUUGUAUUUCUUUGAAGUUUUUCAAGUUUUUGAAGAAAGGAUAGAAACUGUGUCAGUAGAAGAACAAAUCUGCUGUCUAGUUGGCCAUAGCAGUAGAAGAAAUUGGUGUUUAUUUUAAGGAGCAAAAUCAGAACCUAUAAUAAGUAUCUUAAAUGUAGGUGUUAAUUUCUCAUCAUGCUUUAUAUAUAAGUUUUCAGAAGGAAAAAAAUUCUAAAAAUGAAAAAAUUCACAGCCAGGCCAACCAGGCACUAAUUCUCUUUCUGUUUCAUAUAGUUCAUUUCCCAUAGGUUCUAUACAUCUUAUAGUAAUCUGGUCCAAGGAGUUAAUAGGGUACUUAUCUAUUCAAAUUCAUUUGUAUGUUUUAUAUAAUUCACUUCUCAUUUUUAUUCUAGUGGAUGUAAUAUCUGACAUAAAAAACUUUUGGUAGGUAUUAAGUAUUUCAUUCAUUAUUACCUGUUCAUAGACUAGGUCUUUCUUGAUUCAUAGAUUCAUUUUCAUUUUUGCCAGAGAGUCUGAGCCAAAUUCAUGGGAAGAUACAAUGAAAGAUGAACUGGAACGUGAAAAAUAUCCUCGUAUGCCUUGGCAUGAUGUUCAUUGUGCCCUUUGGGGACCACCUUGUCGUGAUAUUGCUAGGCACUUUGUUCAGCGAUGGAAUUAUGCUAAGGUUAGGUUUUGUCAAUAAUUACAUUGAAGUCUCAAAUAUUCCGGUACAUUCCUAUAUUCCCAAUUGGAAAUCAUGUUUCUUUCUUCUUUUCCACAUCAGAGGAGCAAAGCUCCAUAUGAGCAAGCGAUACCAUUACUUAUGCCUCAGCAUCAUAUGGUUAUUCCACACUACUUGGGAGGAAGCAGAGAGAUCCAGAUUGAAAGCAGUAACACUGACAAUUAUAAACUCAUUAAACGACAAGGUUCAUUUUCCUCAUCAUCCCUAGAUCAUGAUAUUCCUCUACUCUUGCCUAGGGAGCCUGGUGAGCUGAAUACUCUUGAUGGAGACCCAAAAUUGAAUGGGGUAAGCUCCUUCUCACAUCACCUUGACAAGCCAAGCAGGGUCAGCAGUGGUCUUCCUUUCUCUUUCCGGAAGGCCAAAAGUGAAGCUAGUGGUUCAGAUACACCAAUGAAGGGCUUUGUAGAUGAUAUUGACUCUGUUCAUUACCGUGAGAAAAUGUCUCUAGAUAGAGUGGCUCAUGUUGAUUUACAAAAUACAGACCCUGCAUGGUGGGAAACACAGGAGCGGGGUGAUCAGGGAGGCUUUGAAGAUGAAUCAGGACAAGUUGGUCCCCGUGCUUCCUGCCGUUGUCAGGUCUGUUGUUCUCAUAUUGCUGAAGUGUUCCUAGCCUACAUAAAAUAUAGUAGUCAAUGACUUAAAUAAAAUAUCCGGCAGCACAACGGUAAGGUUGUUUGCCUUGUGACCUGGAGGUCAUAAGUUCAAAUCAUUAAAACAAUCUCUUCACUUGUGAGCGUAAGACUGCUUACACCUACCUUCCCUAGACCCCACUAGGUGGAAAUCUCGUGCGCUGGGCCACUCUUUUUAUACUUUUAAUAUGACCAUCUAACCAAGAGGUGCAUUAAAAUGUAUUAAAUGCUAAUUUUAUCAUUAAAUAUUAAUUAUUAAGAGAAGUCAGGUAUUUUUGGGAACCUCUUAAUUUGACCAAUUCCUUUUCUCUCUCGAUGCACAGAGUAAAAUCCAUGGGAAGCCUGGUCUUCCAUAUUUGGGUGAAGAUUGAUUUUCAUGAGGAUGCAUUAUAUGAUUUUAUAAUUACUUGUGUUCUUUUUCAUCACUUUUAUGCUGUUAGUUUCUUUUUGUAUUGGCCAUUAUAUUUUCUACCAUUAACAGCCUUCAACUGAUAGGUUAUUAGGAGUGUUAGUCAAUGGUCUGCUGGAACAAGCCAAACCGAAGAGAGCAUCCACAAUGCUUAUUGCUCUCUUAUUGAGAAAGCAGAGUACUUCAUCUACAUCGAGGUAUUAAAUAAACUCCCUCCCUUUAUCACUUCUUCACUGAAUGUGAUGCAAUUUUUAAACAGUGAUGGUUCUUUAGAUAAUCAUACCAAAAGUGGCUUUGUUUUGUAUUUUUAGUUAUAAAACCUAUCCAGAAGCUUUCAAUUAGAUUGAAUAUAAGAACAAAAGAACAUGGGUAAUGAUUACUUUAAUUACCUUUUAGUAUUUCUCAUAGUAACUGAAGUGCUAUUAUUUUAAACGUUUUUGAAUAUUUUGCCAAUUUGCACAUAAUAUUUCAGCUUUCAGGUCAGGCUUUGGCUCCAGUAUCUAUAAUGGUCUUGUUUAAGAUGAUGAUUAUAUCCUAUGCUUAAACACACAAUAAUUUCUUGUACAAUGCUAGAUUUUAGAUGCAGGGUAUCUGGUUAUCGUUAUCACUUAAAUUUAAAGAAAAAAUGUUUUAUUUAUUUAUUUAUUUGAAUAGAGUUUAAGAUGAAGAUUGUUCUUAUUUGAAUGCAAAGUUGAUCUCAUGACUGUAUCUUGUUUUUUUUCAUUAUAUAUGCAUGUGUGGUUGUUGGAUAAAAUAAAGUAGCGGGGACCUUCAUUUGUCUAAGAAUAAAUAGGCGUGUCAGCUCAUUCUCUGAAAAGCUGGCAAACAAUUCUAUCAAUCUAACAUUUUUCCUAUUUUUAUGAAAAUAAUGAAAUAAAAUAUACAAAAGAAAACAUAAAAUAAUCUCAGAUUUAUUGAACUUAAAUAAUCAGUCAUUUAUAUUUAUGUAAAGAAAUCCUGUAUUAGCAUUGGUUCUGAAUUAAUUUUCAUUCAAAUAAGGUUUAAUUUUUUAUUGGUUUGCAACUAGUUCCAUCUUGCAUCAUUUCAAGUAGUUUUGGAAGUUGCUGAAAACCCAUUCCUUUUUUAAAUUUAAAGAGAGAAAAUGCAUGCCUAAAAAUAUUUGGACUUUCUCUUUACACCUUUCAUUGCAAGUGUGCCUCUUCCAGUUUUGAGAAGGCAUAUCUAGUUAAAUUUGCUUUGUUUGCUGAUAAUCGUAACGACCCUGCUAUAUAUAUAACUUGUAAUAUAUAUUGUGCAUUGCAUUUUAUGGACAUUAUAUAUCUGCCCCCUCCGCUCUACACUUUGUUGUGUGUAAAGGGGUAGUUCUAUUGUUUUAUCUCUUCCCCAGUCUGUUCUGGACCUGUCUCUGAUUCAUCUAUUUCACCCUUGGGAAAUUGUUCCAGAAUCAAUUUUUUAUUUCAGGUCUUUCUGGAGAUGAGAUGAUACGAAAUCGUGUGUUAGAAGCUUUGUACCGACGGAUUAUGCGAGCUUACAAUGACAAAAAAUCUUUUCGUGUUAUAAUUGUCAUACCUCUCCUGCCUGGCUUCCAGGUUAUUAAUUAAUUUUUUUCCCGUUUUGACACAGUGAAUUUUGUUUUCGAAUGAUGUUGGACUUACUUUUCUGUUAUCUAGGGGGGCCUUGAUGAUAGUGGUGCAGCAUCUGUGAGAGCCAUAAUGCAUUGGCAGUAUCGAACUAUUUGCAGAGGGCAAGAUUCUAUAUUACAUAAUCUUUAUGGACUUCUUGGUUUAAGAAUACAUGACUACAUCUCUUUUUAUGGCCUGAGAUCUUAUGGUAGACUCUCUGCCAGUGGUCCUGUGGCAACCAGCCAGGUAUUCUUUUACAUCUAUUGUCUUAUACUUAACUACUUUCAGUCAGCUUAAUGAACUAUUCAUUUUUGCAGGUAUAUGUUCACAGUAAAAUCAUGAUUGUUGAUGAUUGUACAACUUUGAUAGGAUCUGCUAAUAUUAAUGAUAGGAGCUUACUUGGCGCCAGAGAUUCUGAGGUAUUCUUCCAAGCCUUCUUCCCAUCAUUUGCUGUGUAAGUUUGAUUGGCGCUUUUGACAUACCGAUUCACUCUCACUGUCCUUCAUUUCAUGAACUCACAUUCUAACAAUUUAUCAAGUGAACCACGUAUGUUCCAUUUCAUUUGUCAGGAUUUAUUUUAAAGCAUCCUAGAUGAUUCUCUGAGGAUUUAUUUCCUCUUUAUAUUCUCUAAUUUGUAUCCUUAUUUAAUUAGGAUAGAGGUCUACUAUUACUAUUUGGUUUGUCUUUUGUGUCACAUCAUAUGGCAUCAAAUCAAUCACAUAUCACAUAAUUCUAUCAAUAUUAUUAUGAUUUUGUAGUCGCCUCUCUCUUCCUUAUUCCCUACCUCUAAACCUCAUUCAUAUAUUUUGCAAUGAAGGCAUUUAAUAUCUAGUUAGUCUUUUCGCUUCUAAAUAUAUUUAACUGGAAAGUUUUGGGGGGCACACUGCAAAUUAAAUCGCCGAUGUUCUAUGUAACUUCGAAUUUCAUUCCACGGUUUUGCAAUUAUCACAAAACUUAAACACAACUACUUAAUUUAAAAUAUAUAACUAAUUUAAUGAAAGAAUAAUUUCAACUGAUUAGUAUAUAUUACUGCCAACAUUGUUCCUUUUUAGUCACUCUUAAAAUUUGUUUCUUGAAUCAACUGAUUAAUAUGAUAAUUUUACUAUUUGCUUCAUUUUAGAAAUUUUUAUUUUACUUUUAAAACUAUCUUAAUUGUUGCAAUUGACCUUCUAUCCCCCUUCAUAUGGAUAUGGAUUUCAGAUUGGUGUAGUUAUAGAAGACAGAGAGUUUGUCAGUUCUUACAUGGAUGGAAAGCCUUGGAAAGCAGGAAAGUUUUCCUUGACUCUCCGUUUGUCGUUAUGGGCUGAGCACUUAGGUUUAAAAGCAGGAGAGGUUAGUGACUUUCCCUUCUCUGGAGAUUAGUUGUUUCGUGUGCCUGGUUUGUAAGGAUUACUUAAAAAUCUUUUGUUCCUUAGGUCAAUCAAAUAAUGGACCCAGUUAUCGAGUCAACUUACAAGGAUAUUUGGAUGGCAACAGCAAAGGUAAUAAGAAAAAUAUGUACAUGUAUAAUUGUAUAUUGUUAAUUUGACCAGUAAGGCUUUUUGUAUGAAAAAUGGUGCUUUAAGUGACAUUCUUUUAAAAUUACUUACGGAUGAACAUUUCCUACCGUAAAACCUAUUCUUUUUAUAUUAAUUCUCACAUAAAUAAUUAUCCUUGGAAAGCAUCUCAUCAUUAUCCAAGAAAGAACAUACUAGUGGCCUCUGCCUUUUUAAUUAUGUCGUUGUUCUUACACAUAGUGGAGGAUUCAGGGCUAGAGUUUAUGGCCCUGAUGCAAGUUUGCCAGUUCAUUGUGUUUUGUUUUUUUUAAUAAAAAAAUGUUGUUUUAGGAGGACAUAUCUAAUCUACUUCAUCUUGUCUUCAAUAAAAUUUCAUUAAGAGGUGUUCCUUAUAUUUUAUUCCUUCUUAAUUUAGUCAUUUAUUAGCGAAAGGUGUAUCUGUAUGUGCUAAGCAUUAAAGUGAAGUAGUGAACUACUUUCAGUAAAGAGAUUCCUGGUAAAAAUGUUUAUUGUUCAAGAAGUACUGACCACUUUUACUCGUUUUAGCCCAAUUCCCUUUGGGGAGUUAUUCUGAAUUAAAGAUUGCAUUACAAUGUAGUUGUUUCAGACAUUUAUGUUAGUAACUUCGUAAACAAUUUGGACGUACCGUCUUUUCUUUCUGUUUAACCAAAUAUAAAUACAACAUACACGGAUACAUUCUUGCAUUCUUUUACCCACUGUCUUUUCGAGGAUCAAAUACUUCUUAAAUCACACACUAAUAAUGUUUGUGAUUAACUGAAUAAGAAAUAAUUGCUUAAAUAAGAAUAUUAACAGUUCUCCAUUGAUACAUUUAUGCAGACAAAUACUACAAUUUACCAGGAUGUCUUUUGUUGUGUGCCUAAUGAUCUAAUACACAGCAGGUAUAUCCGCGAUAAUUUUCGUCCUUUCAUCUUGGGUGACACAUGUUCCUGUCUUUUGUUCUAACAUACAUUUCAAAUCCUAUGUUUCUGCAGAGUUGCCUUCAGACAAAGCUUAGCUUUUUGGAAAGAAAAAAUUGGUCACACUACCAUUGAUUUAGGAAUAGCCCAAGAUAAAAUAGAAUCCUACCAUAAUGGUGAUAUCAAGCACACUGAUCCCUUGGAUAGAUUAGCAUCAGUGAGGGGUCAUCUUGUUUCAUUUCCCUUGGAGUUCAUGUGCCAAGAAAAUCUAAGACCAGCUUUUAACGAAAGCGAAUACUAUGCCUCUCAAGUUUUCCAUUGAGUACAAUGUCUGAGCAUAUAAAAGAUCAACAGUAUAUAUAUUUUAAAUUUAUACAGGGCUUUUUUAAUUUAUUACUUGCAGAAUUUUCUUUUUAUUACAAUUCUGCGAGCAUAGAGAUGCCAGGGAGGAGGGAUGAAGGUAUAAUAAUGGUAUUUUUGUAAGGUAUGUAUUUAUAAUUGAGUACUGUACAAAAUUCAUCAGUUUAAUUUUCAUAGAUAAAAGAUCAGUUCAGGAAUAUAUACACUGAUGUGUACUUUAUACUUUGUAUCAAUAAAAAUACAGUAAAAAUUCAUCAACCAUCUAUCUAACAAUUUGCUAUGUUUCUUUCCCAAUCUCACUGUAUUGCUACAUCAUUUUUAUGUUUCUUGCAUUUUUUUUGUAUAGUUAAUUUUUGAAAUUAUGGAUUAAUAUAGUAAUAAUUCUGAGACAUGUUGGUAUUUGCAGUCAGAAAAUAUAGUGCACAAUGAGAAGGGGGGAGAUAAGUAUUCACAAGCAAAUUUGCUUAUUUCCCAUCAAGAUGUUAGCUUGAACAUUUUUGUACUCAAUUAACACAAUGUAGCUGAAAUAUUUUGGUUUAGGACUAAUUGCAUUUUGUUAUAGAUUUGUCAUGAGUUAAGCAACAAUAUGAUUAGGAUUGUUCAAAACUGUAUAUAACUAUUGUGAAGUGUUUGAGGCUUCCACUUACCUAGAAGAAUAAAAUGAAACAACUAAUUGGCAACACAUAUACAUAGUACAAUAGCAUUAGACUUUGUUAUGAGAAACACCAUAGUGCUGCACUUCCAUUUUCAAUUAAAGGCAACAGUUCUAAAGCACGGUAAUGCAAAAGGGAUGUUUUAUUAAACUGAAAGCAGUUUAAUCAGUGAUGAAUUAUUUAAUCAAAGGAGAAAUGUAUGUACAACACAAUUGAAAAAAAAAUGGAUGGAUUGGUUCAUUCACUAACACUUGAUGUCUUCCUUGUUACUAAGGGCAACCUUCAAAUUUUCUGUCUGAGUGAUCCUCAUGCCAAGCAAAAUGAAGAAUGUGAUUAGUUCAGCAGUGUUUAAGGUCUACAAAACACAAAAGACACAUGCUUAUGUGACAAUUGGAUGUGGCUUUGAUGUCACAUACAUUAUCAAUUAGAAUAUUUCUAAAUGAAUAAAUUCAUCCAAAUCUUUCUAAUUACAAUAUUGAUAGAAUUACAAUAUAAGAUAACACUUAAGCCUUCAUUUCAUUAGCUGGAUCAACUACACAAAUUGAACGAUGUCAUAAUCUGUCGUCAUAAAUUUAAUUGACUUCAUACUUGCUAUUUUUUAGUAAUAUGAAGGGUAUACUUUCACCCUAUGGGUAAUGAACUAAUCUCUACCGAUGUGUGUAAUUAUCCUCCCAACAAAUGUAUAUCUCAGAAAUUGAACUUUUAGUCAUCUUACGAUACUUGACACAACUACAUCAUUAGACCAACGCAUUUAUGACACUUCAUACUUCCUAUGUUCGAUAUUAAGAGAAUUUUUGGAAGAUGUUAAAAUAAUAUAACAAAACUCAAGUAUGUAUAUCUCAGAAAUUGAACUUUUAGUCAUCUUACGAUACUUGACACAACUACAUCAUUAGACCAACGCAUUUAUGACACUUCAUACUUCCUAUGUUCGAUAUUAAGAGAAUUUUUGGAAGAUGUUAAAAUAAUAUAACAAAACUCAAGUAAGAAUGCUAAGAUCUUUAAGAAAAAACACUAUGUUAAGAGUAAAAUACUCUAAUCCAUCAACACCCUGUAUGAAAGAGUGGUCAACUAUCUCUUUUUCUAUUUUUUCUUCUUCCAACAACCCACUCUACCACUGCACCUUUUCCACCACGUUACCAUUAAACGCUGUCGUUUUGCUCCAUCCCAUUCGCAAUUUGCAAAACAACAAUCGAACACAAAGAUUUCAACUUUUUCUCAAACCCUCUCACCCACAACGGCUAAUCUUAACUCCUUGCUUAAUCCCAAACCCUAAUUCAAAAAUCCCUUCAUUUUUCGCCACUGGGUCUUCUGAUCCAACCUCUCUGAACUCGUGUAGUGGCCAAAAAUGUCAUCUUUAAGCAGAGAACUCGUUUUCCUCAUCCUUCAAUUUCUCGAUGAAGAGAAAUUCAAGGACACUGUGUGCAAGUAAUCUACCCAUUUUAAUUUUAUUUAUUUAUUUUUCAUUAUUUAUUUGUUGUUGUUGUUGUAUUUAUAAGAUGUUAAAUUGGAAAUUGGUAUUUGUGUGUAAUGGAUUUUAAGGUUGGAGCAAGAAUCAGGUUUCUUAUUCAAUGUGAAGCAUUUUGAAGAGAAAGCCUUAGCUGGAGAGUGGGAUGAGGUUGAGAAAUACCUCUCUGGAUUCACCAAAGUUGAUGACAAUCGAUACUCUAUGAAGAUUUUCUUUGAGAUUAGGAAACAAAAGUAUAUUGAAGCCUUGGACAGGUUCAUUCAUUUUCUUUAUUGCUACUGCUUCUAUCUACAAUGAUAGUUGUAGCUACUUAGUUAUCCCAUUUAUACUCAUUUGUCUGUUAGUAUUACAACUUAUUAGUAGAUAGGGGGAAUACAACCAACAAGACGUUGAUCUAGUGGUGUAAGGCCUCGGUAGAUCCCCAGAACGACCAAAAGGUCGAGGGUUCAGUUCCUGGGAGCGACACUUGUUGGGAGGGGCAGCCGCGCACCCCGAAAUGAUUAGUUCCUUACCAAAAGGUGAGGGGAUACCCUUGGUAGUACUAAAAAAAAGAUAGGGGGAUUACACUGACCACUCAUAUUAUAACUUAUAUUAGAUUGGUUUAAUUAUGUUACACCUGAGUGACCCGACAUCGAUCUUGUUUCCGAAAUUACUCCAGGUUUGUACUUACUGGCCUCCUCUAAAAGGAAGGUGUGUGUAAAGAAGUGAGUGUAACUUAUGAAACAAAAGAGGUGUAUGAUGUAAUUAAGUCAAACUCAAAUCUCAGGGGAGGUCAUUGUAGUUUCGCUGAGUAUAUAAGACUUCUAAGUUCUUUUGUCGUAUUCUCAUUCAUAAAAUUUCAUGGUUUGUGCUUAGGCGUGACAAAGCCAGGGCUGUUGAAAUACUGGUGAAUGAUUUAAAAGUUUUCUCAACAUUGAACGAAGACUUGUACAGAGAAAUUACACAUCUUUUAACGCUUGACAACUUCAGGUGAUCUUUGCUCUCAAUUUUUCAUAUGGUGUUGUUGACUAGUGGGAUAAAGGCUUGGUUGUUGUUGUUGACUAAGGAAUAGGGAUUGGAAGAUCAGAGAUGUUAAGCGGGUUCUCUCUUAAAUAUACAUUUAUAUUAAAUGCAGGGAAAAUGAACAGUUGUCAAAAUAUGGUGAUACUAAAUCAGCUCGGAACAUAAUGCUGGUAGAGCUUAAGAAAUUGAUAGAAGCAAAUCCUCUCUUUAGAGAUAAGCUUGCAUUUCCUUCAUUGAGUUCAUCACGAUUACGAACCCUGAUUAAUCAAAGGUAAAUAUAGGUACAUUCAACUUCUAUAUGUAUUUGGCUUUGCAUAUACGAUAGUUCCGUUCGCAAACUGCCUUAUCUCUUUUAAUAUGGUUCAAGUUUUUGUUUUAAUCUGUGUUUACCUCUCCUAUUAUUUGUAACUUCACUAAUCAUUUUCUUAGUAAUUUCUUGUCAAUUUUUUCUAUCAGUUUGAAUUGGCAGCAUCAACAGUGCAAUAAUCGAUUGCCAAAUCCAGACAUUAAAACUCUACUUAGUGAUCACACUUGUUCACCUUCAAAUGGAGCUCGCGCAGCUACUCCUGUCACUUUUCCUGUCGCAUCUGGUUCAAAGCCUUUAUCUUAUGAUCCACUAGGAGCACAUGGUGGAGUAUGACCUUAGCUCUUUCAGUUGGUUGACUGUUUAGUGCUGACAUUAUUAGUAAUGUAAUCUUCUUGCAUCGGGAUGUUUAAUUUACUCUAGUUACCCACUUUUGUGCAGCCGUUUCCACCAGCAGCUGCUAAUGUUAAUGCUUUAGCGGGAUGGAUGGUGAAUGCUAACCCCUCCUCAUCUGUCCAAUCACCAUUUUUUGCUGCUUCACCAUUUCCUGUUCCCCCGAGUCAAGGUAUAGCUUGGUCAGUUUGUUGUCAUGUAAUCUGCGACAAAAAACCAUAAUAAGAAGUAACAAAUAUUCCAGUAUACUACUGCCAUAUUUAUGAAUAUAAGAAAAUGCAUAUGUUCAAUAUGUAUGCUCUUAUUUUAAUUUUUCUGAGGCUUUGUAGGGGGAAUAUGAUACUUUUGUGUGCGUGUGUUGGCAGUAGAUAGAAUUGAAAAUUUAUUUGCUCUAGAGAUUUACAUUCACAUCCUUCUCAUAUAUGUUCAGUGGACAAUACCCAGUCUUCAAGGGUUGUUCAGCAUCUAAUAACCUUAGCAAUGCAUACUAAACUCUCUUGUAAUGACUUCCUAUAGAUUGACCUCAUUUUCCUUUCAUUUAGUGCAAAGGGUAAUCUUUUUAUUCUUUGUUGAUAAUUUCUCCCUUAUAGAAAGCUGCUUCUUUAUUUUAAUGUUGAAAGUUAUAUGGGUGUAAUUGUUGUUUCAACAUUUUAUCUUCAUAGUGUUCUUGUCCAAUAGUUAAACCAGAUGAUAAAAAAAGGGCGUCCCAAUAUACAAGACUCCCAUUAUUUCGGUCCUGAUAGUCAUUUAUUCAAUCAGUGGAUAGGAGGAUACUCUGGAUCGGAAUUGUAGGGCGUACUGUCUGAUUUUUUCUACCAACUUAAAGCCCAAAUUAAUAUUCUUUUCCGAUUAUGCGUAAAAGUUCUUUUUGAUAAUUUACGUAAUCUGCGUGGGGUCUGGGGAGGGUAGAUGUAUGUAACCUUACCCUCACAAGUGAAGAGUCUAUUUCCCGGACUUGGACCCAUGACCUCCAGGUCACAAGGCAAACAACCUUACCAUUGAACUGAGGCUCAUCCUCUAGAUGAAUAACUAGUAUAGUAUUUUCAUUGUCAGUUCUCUCAUACAUUUUGGAGUUUUGGACAAGUAAAUCCUGUGAUGUUUGUUUGUCUCCUCCAUGGUCAAGUUCACACGUUAUUCAAUUUCUUGCAGUCUCUGCUUUGAAGCAUUCAAGAACACCUUCUAAUGCCCUUGGAAUGAUGGAUUAUCAAAAUAACGAUCAUGAGCAGCAACUAAUGAAACGAGUGCGAUCUGCACAGUCUGUUGAUGACGUACUAAUCCACCACAGUGCCCACUUUUCUUUUUCAUGCUGUUGUAUUGCCAUUCCUAUAGUGCCAACUCUUUACAAUAUGUGCAGGUCACAUAUGCCGCUCCCCCUCAACAAGCCUCUUCAUCACUUGAUGACCUUCCUAGAACUGUUGUUUGUACCUUACAUCAGGGAUCAACAGUGAUAAGCAUGGAUUUCCAUCCAUCGUUUCAAUCACUACUAGCUGGUAGGUUGAAAUAGACUGCUAUGUCUUGUACCCUAAAGAAGUUAAGUAUUAUAUGGUUUACAAAAAUAACUUCUGAAACAGUUGGUUGCAGAAAUGGUGAAGUUUCACUCUGGGAAGCAGGGCUGAGAAAGAGGCUGAUAUCAAAGCCUUUCAAAAUAUUGAAUAUUUCCGCUUGUUCUGCCUUAUUUCAGGUUUAUCUUACAUUAUUCAACUGCAUAAUUGUGAAUGGAUAGAUCAUGGAUCUGUCUAAAGUCGACUAAAAAAUAAUAUUAUUGUCCAUAGUGGCCUACUGGCCUUGCAUUGUGCAAUAAUGAGCUUUAGGCAUUUAGCAUGGGGGUGGGAUUGUGGUGGCAGGAAUGACCUCUAGGCAAUUAGCAUAUGGCUGUCCACAGUAGCUUAAUAGUAUUAAGAAUAUGAGACAGGAAAGAACGUAUAAUUCGGGGAAUGUUUAGUAUGGACAGCUUUUAAAUUAUAAAUGAACAAAGGCUGGUGUUCAUUGGCUGCACAAUAUCUGCUCAAUUUUUAAAUUUAACUACACCCUUUCCUCUAGCAUACGUUCAAGCCUUAUGGUAUUUCGUCAUUUCACUUCUUCUCAUGAAAUUGUCUCUUACAAAGUAAAUUUCUUUUCAUAUAAGUGCCAGAUUUCUUUUACCUGAUAUGCUGAAAUUUAGUAAUUGGGACUCUUGUACAGGCUCUAACUAUGAAAGACUUGUCUAUCUCUGUCAACCGUGUAUCAUGGAGUCCAGAUGGGAAUUUUAUUGGUAAGUACUGUAAGUAAACUUGGUCCAGUCUGUUGUGUUAUUCCUGGUUUACAAUAUAUUUUCCCUUCUUUUCAGGGAUUGCUUUCACAAAACAUUUGAUUCAUUUGUAUGCUUAUCAAGCGCUUAAUGACCUACAGCAGCAUUUGGAGGCAUGUCCCUGUGAAUUUUGAUUUGAACUAAUAAAGUGAUACAAUUUUUUUGGUAAUUUUUGCAUUCUGACUAAUGUCUUUGCUUCAGUACAGAUUGAUGCUCAUGUUGGUGGUGUCAAUGACUUGGCGUUUUCUCAUCUAAACAAACAGCUAUGCAUUGUAACUUGUGGAGAUGACAAGUUAGUAAAGGUGACAGAAAAGUUUCUGGCCUAUGACAUCUUUAGAAAAAUGAAUUUAUCCUUUAUUGUUAAUUUUUAGAAGAGUGUGACAGGUAUGGGAUUUAACUGGACGGAAGCUCUUUAACUUUGAAGGUCAUGAAGCACCUGUUUAUUCUGUUUGCCCUCACCAGAAGGACAAGACCCAGGUAAAGUGUCCAAACAACCUAUGAAACCAAAAGGCCUUGUUUGUUUCAUAAAUAUUUUGGUAAAGAAAAAAUUAGAAUCUUAAAAAAUUUAGGAUUAAAUUUGACCAUAACACUGCAAGAUGUAAUGCAAGCCAAUUUCCUGGGCACCAGCAUUAUUCUGUCUUUGCUUUUGUACAGCCAUAACCUUGUUCCAUUUGUUGUCUAUUCUGGAAAGAUUCUUGGUAAAGAUUUGUAGAGGCAAUUGGUCUUAUUACUUCCUUGUAAAGGUUGUUGCAAUGAAUGAUUGACUGGUAAAAGUUAUGACAUCAUGUUUGCAGUUUAUACUUUCAACUGCUUUUGAUGGGAAAAUCAAGGCCUGGUUGUAUGAUAAUAAUGGCUCCAGAGUGGACUAUGAUGCUCCUGGACAGUGGUGCACCACAAUGCUCUAUAGCUCUGAUGGAAGUAGGUAAGAAAAUCAAGCAUGAUUCUGGAAAUACAUCCACUUAAUCUUAUACAUUUUUUAGUUUUUUUUGUCUGAAGUGUUAAUGUGUGUUGUAACGGCUCUUUCCUAUUUUAGAUUGUUCUCUUGUGGGACAAGUAAAGAUCGAGAUUAUUUCCUAGUUGAGUGGAACGAAAGCGAAGGAACACUAAAGAGAACAUAUUCUGGGUUUAGAAAGCAAUUUACUGGCAUUGUGCAAUUUGACACAUCAAAGAAUCGCUUUUUGGCUGUUGGUGAAGACAACCAGAUAAAGUUUUGGGAUAUGGACAAUAUCAACAUUCUAACUAGUACACAUGCCGAGGGUGGUCUUCUUGUGAGUAUUCCCUUUACUUUCAAUUUUUGACACUUUUCUUAGAGCAUUGUUUGACAUGGUUGAUGUCUUGCAUUAGAGUCUCCCUCGCUUGAGGUUCAAUAAGGAAGGAAACCUGCUUGCUGCUACUACAGAUGAUAAUGGUUUUAAAAUUCUUGCUAAUGCUGAUGGCAUCAAGUACUUAAGGGCCAUUGAAGCCCGGUCUUUUGAAUCACCAAAAGCACCUGUUGAGACAAAGGUUUGUUGUCUGCCUUAAUUAUCAAUCUUCACUAUCUGCUUCCUUACCAAAUAUCAUUUUCUGGUUUAUAUUAAUGUCCAAGUUUUGAAUUAUUCUAAAUGAAUCAGGGAUUAGGGUCUUCUGUGGUUGUAAAUAUCAAUCCGCUCACCAAUAAAGUAGAACAUGUAGACCAAAGCUCUCCUUUUCGGCAUGCACCAAUCCUUGUAAGAUAUAAACUACAAAAUAUGUGGGUUGAUACUUCAUUUAAGAUUUAUAACAUUCUUAUAUUAUGAAAUAUUUUAGUGUGAACAUCAAAUACAAAUUAUGCAUUCUUUUUCUAUAAACUAAAUUACGGUGUACAUGGUUUUAUACUACAGCAGUUAUGCCUAGGCAUCUUAUGGAGUUCUGGUCUGUUAGACAAGUAGGUGUUCAACUCACUCGUUUUGUUGAUAUUUUUAUUCCAGAAUGGAGUUGAUUCUAUCACUAGAAGCAUAGAUAGAAAAAGAAGUUUGGAUGAUUUAUCUGACAAAUCUAAAGCUUGGGAAUUGACAGAAAUAGUUGAUCCUGUUCAGUGUCGAACAGUUACUAUGCCAGACAGUAUGGGUUCCAGUAACAAGGUAUUCCCUGCCAACCUAUUUUAUGUAUAGGAUGUUUAAAUAAUUUAUUUUUAUUUUAUAUCAAUAAUUUUAUGAUCAUAAAAUCCUUUACAUUUUUUUUCAAGGUUGCUCGUCUUCUUUACACAAAUUCUGGGGUUGGGCUUCUGGCUCUUGGUUCAAAAGGGAUUCAGAGGCUGUGGAAAUGGAGCCGCAAUGAACUGAAUCCUAGUGGAAAGGUAAUUGUAUGCUGAAAGACCCUCAGAUGCGGAACCACUUUCCCGUUGCUUUAUAAUGGGUAUCCUGAUGCCCAUGUUUCUAUUGCAUAUGAUAAGAGUAUGCAUGUUUGUUGAUGGGUAUGAUACUUUCAUGUUAGCAUUUCUGACUCUUUUUUGUGUGGAUUUACAGGCCACGGCAAGCGUUGUUCCACAACAUUGGCAACCGCCAAAUGGUGUUCUCAUGACUAAUGAUGUCCCGGAAAAUUCUGAAGCAGCAGUUCCUUGCAUAGCACUCUCAAAAAAUGAUUCCUAUGUUAUGUCUGCCUGUGGACGGAAAAUUUCACUUUUCAACAUGACGACAUUUAAGGUAAUAUGACGGUUUUUAUGGUAAUAUAGUGUGUAUCAUCACUUGUAGCCUUUAUCCAGAUGUAUCUCAGUAUUUGAGCUUUGACAAACUAUUGCUAAAUUUCAGGUAAUGGCAACUUUUAUGUCGCCGCCCCCGACUUCAACCUUCCUUGCGUUUCACCCCCAAGAUAAUAACAUUGUUGCAAUUGGAAUGGAAGAUUCAGCCAUUCAUAUUUAUAAUGUUAGGGUGGAUGAGGUAAUUACUUUUAACAGCUCUAAAUUGUAAUUGUUUCGGGAAUCAUAUUAAUUGUGGGUGUGACCUCUCUGCCUUUAGGUAAAAUCAAAGUUGAAAAGUCACCAGAAGCACAUUACCGGUUUAGCUUUUUCAACUAAACUGAAUAUCUUGGUUUCAUCAGGUGCUGACGCUCAGGUAUGUUUAAGCAUGACUUCUGGUAGAAUAUUGGUUAUGUUGUUUAACUGUUAUUGGAUUGGGCUUGUACUGGCUGCCGAGUUGUUACUGCACUCUUCGGUGUUUAAUUUCAGUGUUAUAUUUAUAAUGAUUUCAGUGUUUAAUUUCACAAUUAUUCAGAAUCUUAUUACUUAAUUUAUGCUCUUUUCUAAUUUUUUAAGAGGGCCUCACUAUUUAAGGUCUUUGUUUCUAUCACCAGGUUACUUGGGUAGGGACGUAGGGUUACUAGUAUUUCGUGGAAUUUUUACUAGUGUACUACACUUGUAAUUGGCCUAGAAGAUUAAUAUAAAUGUGACUAAAAGGAAAACCUUUGUACUAUCCCGACAUUACUACUACUUAGAGUUUCACUACUUCAAUAUGUUCUCAGUUUUUCCCCUUUCCAUAUUUCCCCUAUAAUUUCAACAAUUUUCGUCGUCAUUUUAUAACUCGAGAUAUGUAGCUGUUUUGUGCGUUUGUCUUUAUGAACUUCUAAAGAUGAUUGAAUCUCUAUAUAUUUACUAUAUAUAUUUAUAAAAAACUAUUUUUAAUUUUUAAUUUCUUGAAGAAGGGAAAACUUUGGCUAUAUUUGUGAGCAUUUUUGUAGCUUGUCUUUUGGAGCAUUGACUCAUGGGAUGAGAAGAAAUCACUGUCAAUUCAAUUGCCAGCUGGAAAUGCACCUCAUGGUGAUACUCUAGUGCAAUUCCACAUUGAUCAAGUAAACUUGUUGGUAUGCCAUGAGUCGCAGUUAGCGAUAUAUGAUGCUUCAAGAAUGGAAUUGAUUCGGCAGGUAAGCAGUUACUCUCCCUUCCCCUCUCUACCCUGAAACAGAAACCCUCACACUAAACCUUUUACUUAUAUAUAUAUAUAUUGAGUUCUUAGUGAAUGAGCUAGUAAAAAUCUUUUUGUUCGGAUUAUAGUGGGUGCCACAAGAUGGGUUGUCUGCUUCGAUAUCCUCUGCUACGUAUUCCUGCAAUAGCCAACUAGUUUAUGCUGCUUUCACUGAUGGAAGCAUUGGAGUAUUUGAUGCUGACAGCCUGAGACUCCGAUGUCAUAUAGCUUCAUCCGCAUACCUACAUCAAACCUCAUCAAACAGGUCUUUGAACUUCUGCUUCAUAUGUAUUUCAACUUAUUCGAUUUUUUUUUACUGAAAUCCCAAUUAGAGAUGACUAUUUCUUUGUUAUUGCUACAAGCAAUGUUUUAAAAACUGGACCGAACUGAUUUGGUUAAACCAAUUAAGCCAAUCUCGAGUUCAGUUCUUAAGACAUCGGUUUGAAGUUUUGCAUUUUUAGCCGAAAUAUGCUUUAGACAUUUAAUUCAUGUUUCAUUUUUCAUGAUACUUGGCCAAGCUGUCUGAAAUUUUCUUAUUUGUUUUGUACACAGCCAAAAUGUAUAUCCUGUAGUUAUUACAGCACAUCCACAUGAAUCAAAUCAAAUUGCAGUUGGACUAUCAGAUGGAUCUAUUAAGGUUAUAGAGCCCAUAGAAUCUGAAGGAAGGUGGGGAAUUAAAGCACCUGUUGAUAAUGCCAUGCAGAAUGGUAGAACAGCAUCACCCUCACUCACAAAUAAUCACACUCCCCAACAGCUCCAAAGAUGAUAUAAUUCUUAUGCACCAUUUAAGUUAAGUUUCUUGUUGUACAAUAGUAAAACUGUUAAGAUGAAUGUUUGCAAGAAACCCUUUCUCGACAUAAACGUUGGUCUAGUCGGUAAGGAUUGAGCUCAUAUUCUGUGAGGUCGUGAGUUUAAAUCUUGUUGUCGAUGUUACGAUGUAAAUGUCUUCGAGGGCUCUGAGUCGUGAGGCCUGCUUUGUCCAUAGUAUGCCUUUGAGAUCCACUUAUGCAAACUUUUUUUACCAUAAGACUGAUAAAAUUUAUUAUUCCUUCAAAUAUCCACUGUCAUCUUUUAUUAUCAUUUGUGCUUACCUAUACUCUAGUAUUUUUUUUUAUGCUAGCGGAGCAGGACUAUAAAGAUUACAAAAUGAUUCCUACUAAGUAUUUAAUGAAUCUUUAUUUUUAGAGGGUUAGAAUUGGUGACAUCCUAUUAACUUAGGUUAUGCCUUUUUCAGCUUAUUUAUAUGCAUGGUGGCUCAAUGCUAUCUAUGUAAAUUUUAAAAGAAAAUAGCUUUCAUUAACAUUUUCCAAUUUUGCUACAGUUUUCACUCGAUCCGUGGCAGAAAUUAUUUGUUACCAUCUUAGGCUCUGAAUUCUCCAUCUUAGCAAAAUUUGGCACUGCAAUAAAUAUAUAUUGGUAUGGACAAAAUUGAUAUUAUCCUAAAAACUUGGUUUAAAACUCUUAGCCAUAGAAAAAGUGACAAGGGUUAUUGUCACAUCAAGUGAUAUAUAAGUUUAUAUGAGUAGAAAGUGAUAUAUAUAAGUUUAUAUUAUUAAUGCACAGAUAUUAUACUCAUGUGAAAAUGGAAUUGUUUGCAAAAUAAUCAUUAUAUUUUAUGUGGACCAACAUAACAUAAUAUGUCUAUUGUUUUUCUUGGAAUGUAAUCCACGCAUCAUGGUACCAAUCUAUGUUUAUUCCUGCUGUGAUAUACCUGUAAUAAGGUAGUUGUUUCUCAAAUUUUAUUUUGGGUAUGUGUCCUAUGAAUUUAUUAACUAAUUUUGUCAAAUAUAUCAACAUAUCCACUAUACAUCCCUGACUUUAGUCUAAAAAACAUUUUAGUAUUGAGUCAAGUUUUCAAUGAUUUUCCAAGACAGUGUUUGUAUCCCAAAAAAAGCAGACCUAUUUGUGUCCUAAUAAAACAUGCACUGCAACACAAAGGAAUGAAUGGGUUAUGCUUGAGUAGCUGUUAUACUCAUGACAACUGGUCCUUGUACAGGACAUUUAAGGGCAGUUACAUCUGUAAUGAAAUGACCCAACAAAGAAAAACAGAGAUUCCAAGUAAAGUUUCAGUUCUUAUGCUACUUUAAAUAGUCACAUUAAUCAUUACUUUCACCUAAAUACCACCAACUUUGAAAUUAGUGCUACCAACAAAAAUGUGCAAAUAUAUUAUACCCUCUUACUAGUAAUAAAUCAAUCAGCAUAAAGUUUUUUUUUGUUAACCAUAAUAAAAUGACGUGUUGGCUUUUACCCACAUGUACUAUAAAUAUUGAUAUAUUUCUAGUCUAAUUAUUUAGAAGAGAUUAAUUAUAUUAAUACUAUAGUUAUCCCCUAACAGACCCAGUCCUAGAAGUAGAGUGGCAAAGGGUAAGACUAUAACUUUUAGAGUAUGUCAGCGAGUUUAAUUUUAAAGGAAAAUUGAGGAUUUGAAAGUCAUAAAAUAUAUUUGUAAGAUGACUCAAAAAAUUUCAUUUUUCUGCAAAACUCAAGUUGCAAACAGACUCUUAGGAGUCUAACAUAUUAUAUUAUUUUAUUUAACCAAUAUAGCUCCCCUAUUAAAAAUAAAAACAGCACAUUUUUACUAUUUUUAUAUGAAAUAAAAAUAACACAUAUGGGUUAUAUAUAUAGAGAGAUAUAUAUAUAUAGAGAGAGAGAGAGGUGCAAUGUAAUAUGCUGUUGAACCCACCGCCCCACAUGGGAGCAAUAUACAGCAAUUUCACCUACAAUAGUCUAUUUUGGAUUUCCUAUCUAUUGGUAUAGUUUAAAAAGUCUCUGCCUAGUUAAUGGAGAUUUUUUCAGAUUUGAAUGUGAUGAGGGAAGGGUUUAAGAAAUAGAUGGAAAAUAUUGUGGGUUUGAGUCUCAUUCAUGACAAAUUAAAAAAAAGUUAUAAGGUGGUUUGAUGGUUAGAAUGAAUGGUUGAAAGGAAGGAGAUUGAGAGUUUGAGUUUUACCCAUAACGAAUAUUAACAUACUAAUACUUGUGGGCAAAAAAAAUAUGUGAAUCUCUUGUUAUGUGGAAUUCUUUUCCAUCGUUUAACUUUUAUUCCUUUUGUUCUAUUCUUCAUAGUUUUGUAUAUAUACUAAAGAUGCGUGUUAUAAAUUAAUAUUUGUUUUUUACUUGUCCAAAAUGAGUUCAAUAAAGACAAAAGUAAAACAUUCUUACUUCUUUUAAAAUCGUGAUUGUUGUCACAAUUAGGAAACCAUCAAAACAAAAAAUGUUACACCAUGAAUUAAGAUCGAUCAUUGAUCUUGAUUUAAAUCAUAGCUAAUAGUGAAUUAUGGUGACUUCUUCUUACGUCCUUGUCAUGGGAUGGACCAUGAUUUAUGAUUUUUCAUGUGUUGUUAGUUUUUCAACAAUCAUCCACGUGGAAUCGGCGGGCUUACAAAUGAGGUGAAUAUCAUCUGUCCGAAUGAUGUCUCAUUUCCCUGUACCAAGUCAAUUACAUAUUGACAAGUGAACUCUGAUUGACUUGAGAUAAGGAAUGAAAUAUCAUUUAGGUCAAGUGAUAUUUCUACUUACAAAUGGGAUUUCCUAAAAUCACGUCCUCAUUCAUUCAUGUGUCAUUCAAUCAAAUUUUGACAUUAUUAAAGAAAAUGAGUAGUGACUAGUGAGAAGAAAGUUGAAGUGUUAGAUGAAUUUUAUAUGAAUGUAAUAUCUAUAUAUGACGAAUAUAAAUAUUUAUAAGAAGUUAAUGUAAAUAUUUAUAUAUUGUCAAUGUACAGAUUUAUACACAGUCAAUAUAUCAUUUAAUAUUUAUUUGUAUUAUUUUUUUGAAGAGUCAACGAUGAUUAAAUAUGAAUUAUGAAAUAUCAAUGUAUAAAACUCCUACUUACAUUUUUUUCUUCCUGAUUUUAUAUUAUGUGUUAAAAUAAAUUGAAUAUAACAUUCUUAAUGACAUGAUUUUGGGACAUAUAAUCUCUUCCAUUUUAUUUAGCUAUAUACACUUAGGAGUAGGGAAUAGUGAAAUUAGAAAACUAUGUGCCACUCAUGUUCAAAGGAUGUCAUUCAAUAUAUAUGGAUAGGAAGGUGCAGCUUUAUUUCUUUCUCUCACUUGGUUCCUCAUGCUUCAAGUUUUCUUUUGUGGUUUUACUUUUAUUUUUUCCCAAAUUACAUUUUAUUAACUAUCAAAUUCUCACAUCACAUAAAAAUAUAAGUCAAUAUUAUUUAUAAGAGUGAAAUAUUUAUUUAUUGUUAGUAUAAAAAUUUAUAUGCGUAUAAUACAUUAUUUAUAAUUUAUUUGUAUUUUUAAGAGUCAAUAAUGAUGGAAAAUGGAUGAUUAAUUAUAAACUGAUAAGAUAUAAAACUCUUAUACCGUUGGUGCAUAUAUAUUUUUUCUUUUAUAAGAUAUUGGUUGUUCUACUUUUAUAAAAUAGCUUCUAGGAUAUCUAAGGAUAUGUAAGUUUGUCAUACAAGGAGACCUGAAAGUGUGCUAAGUGUUAAAGUCCUACAUGAAAAUAUAACCAAAAACCACUUAUAACUUGACUUGGGCAAUCCAUUAUGAAUUAGCUUUUGAGAUUAAGUGAUGAAUAUUAUUCUAAUAGAGUUUUAUAUAAAAUUAAAUCCCAAAUAAUUCAAAAUUAAUUUGAUUAAAGAUUGUUUCAAGGGAUACAAAAGUAGCACUAAUCCCUAAAAGUAAAAAUAGAUAGGUGCAAAUGUAUACCAAAUGGGGUGAGGAGCAUAUUCCAAAGGUUACCCAAGUAAGGGAAUAAACUUUUUGGUACUAUCAAGGGUAUUAUUUACUAUUUUGAGUAAGAAAUUAUUCUUUUUCGAAAUAUGUGUAUGUCAUUCUCAAUAAAUGUUGUUCUCUAAGUUUUAACUUUUAACUUUGUGAUCAUCUUCAGGAUCUAGCAAUACCUUAUACCAACAUUUUGUUGCUAAAACCUCUUAACUUGGUAAUAUAUAUAAAAUUUUGACAUAUAUAAAACUGUGUAAUUGUGCUACAUAUAAACACAACUUUAUAUUGAAUAUUUAAUACAGCUAAAUUGUAAAUAAAGCCUUGGAGUAAAUGCAUGUUUAGUUGUUAAUAUUUUGACUUAUUUUAGAAGCUUGGUUCCAUGGUUCAUGGUUGGUUGUGUCUAAUUUUUUAUUUUUUAGUUAUAAGAAUGUUCAGAAGAGGUGACAUAAAAUAUGAGUAGAAUAAAAAGAGUAGAAGUAUGUGAAGUGAAAUAGUUUACGAGUCGAGGCUAGCAUCUCUCUCCAUCGUUGGUGUGGGUCCCACUCUUUCCUUUCUCUCCUCUGUCGAUCCACAUGCGCCCCUCUCUCCUUUCUACUAGGGGAUGAGCAUAAUCUAGAUUGGGACGAGUUAAGUUUGUCCUUAUCCUAUCAUAAAUAUUGGUCGGAUAAUUUUUUUAAUCCUGGAUCCAACUCUAGACCCGAAGCUAAACCGAUCCUAAAUAACGACCAAUCCAACUUUUAAAUUUGAUCUGAUCCUAAACCUGAUUAAAUAUAAUACAUACUCAUUUUAUAUAAAAACUUCUCAAUAUUACUUAUUAUUAUGAAUAUGUAGUUUGAUAUAUAAAUUGAUAUAUAUAUAUAUAUAUAUGUGUAUUAUUAAUAAUAUAUAUAUAUAUAUUAUUAAUCAUGAAUAUAUUAUGAAAAAAUUAAAGAAUAAAUGAUACUUUUGACCAAAAAGGUAUUAUUACUCUAUACACAUUUGAGUAGAAACAUAUACAAACAUGAUAAGCAAGUGACCCUAGGAUGGGACGGGUCAAGUCAUACUUAGUCCUUAAUCCUAAAUAUUGACUGAGACUAUUUUUUGAACCCGGACACGACUAUAGACCCGAUCAAACCCGACCAUAUUCAGAUCCGAUCAUGAUCGGACCAUGCCGGGUGAGCGAGUAGGGUCGGGUCCUACUCAUCCCUACUUUUUAUACACCAUAGUAUAUACCAACCCCAUUCACUCCUUAACUUAUUUAUUCCAUAACUUUUUAAAUAUUUUGAUGGUAUAACUAAAGGUAUCUUUUAUUCUUUAUGUAUGGGCUUAAAUCUUUUUUGUACAAGUGAUUGUCCUCAAGAAUCAAAUUUUUAAUUUUUUGUUUUGCAUUAGAUCUAAUGAGAUAUUACUUAAAGAAAUUAUUAAAUAACAUAAAAUACACUUAUAAAUUAAAAGAAAUUAAUAAAUGUGUGCCUACACAGUUAAAAAAGUAAAGUAUAAAUAUUUAGUGAAAAUCUAAAACAUUAAAAAUAUAAAAUUACUCUCUAAUUAUUAUUAGAGAAUAAAUUAUCUCAUCAAAUCUGGACAUAACUUAUUUUCUUAAAUUUACUCAUUGUUUGAUAUAUAUAUCUUAUUUUUUAUUUUAUAAAAUAAUUUAAAAACAUAAGUUAUGUAUUUAUAUAAGAAAAUAUUUUACUUUUUUAUUAUUAUUAAUAGUAGUUCAAAUUUCUCACCCACCUCUUCAUCCUACCACGUGGCAAUCAAUGAUAGGGCCUCACAACUGCCAUGUGUCACUCAUGCAACUUUCCCUAUUAUCACUUCUCAUACACUAAUCAUAAUAUUAUGUAUUAUUAGUGUAAAGUUUCUUACACUCAUAACAUAUUAUUCACUGGUUCAUGAGUCAAUAUUAAUUAGUAUAUGAAUAGUAGAUGAUGUAUCAACAAUAUAAAAAAGCAAUUACAUUGUGUCUAUGUAUUAAAUUUAAAAACAAAAAAUCACUGAUUGUAUGAAAAAUAAGUUUACACUAUAGCUUUAAACCUAAAGAAACUAACUUCAAUAGUGGAGAGGGUCAUAUUCCCCUCAUAGUAUAAUUAGUGUAUAUGAAAGAAAAAUGAUAUAUCCUCUUACUAAUCCUCUUACCCAUGAAAAGAUGACAUGUGUCACAUAAGAUACUUUAUUGAUUAAUGAUUGGAUUACAAGUGACAUGUGUCAUUUUUUGUGUGGGUAGGAGAAUUAGUAUGAGGAUAUAACAAUGCUGUGUAUGAAAUCGUCUUAUCUAACUAUUUUAUAACUGUUUAAAUGCUUAAAUAUAUUAACAAACCCUCUUCAAAAUACUUUACAUUCAUAAACUUCAAUCUUAAUUAAUAAAUACAACUCAUAACCUACCCUUUUUCUGUUUUUUGUUCUACUCUCCCAUUCAUUCCACUCACUCAAUGUUCGGUUUUAGAACAUAGUUUAUUAUUGUCGGACAAAAUCAACACUUUUCUUAACAUGUUCUGAACAGUUCAUAAAGGUAACUGACAGUGGAAACAAACCCCACUCCUAAUCAACAAUUACUAAAUUUGUAGCAUAGUAAAAUGUUUGUGUCCAAGAGUUUUAAAAAAGUAAUAUCAAUCUCCUAAUUUGUGUAUGUUAAUUACAACUUUGUUUAAAAAUCUUACAUAUGAAACAAGAUUUUUGAAAAGUGUAUUAUAUUCAUAAUAAACCAAAAAGUUACAUAAAAAACGUAAUUAAGUAAUCAAACUAUAUAAAUUUUCCUCAGUAAAAGACUUUCCUCAAACGAUUUUGUCGGCCAGAUAUGUUAUUAAUCAUUGUUAUUGCUUUUUCUAAUUCUUAAAUAUAAUUAAUUUGUCAUUACAUCAGAAAUUUCUUACCAAAUAUUUGUCAUAUAUGAAAGGACCAUUAAUCUUCUCUUUUACUGUCAUAUGCAUGAUUAAUGCCUUAUAAUAAUUGUACUCAUAAAACUGCUCCAAGCUACCUAUAUUCCUGUGCAUUCUUCUGCUUCCUCCUUUUCCUUCUUUCUCUUUUUUCUCUCUGUUCCAGCUUUGACUCAAGAACAUGCUUGUAAGUACGUUUCUAAGGUUCAUUUUUUCUGAGUUUUAUUUCACUUCAUGGUGUCUUUUUCUUUACCUUAGAUUCAUUCCAAAUCCAGAAGGGGUUCUAAAGUUUCAAUCUUUGGUUGGAUUUUAGAUGUUACACGUGUUCCAUUCAUAUGGGGUAUCUUCUAUGUGUGUGAUAUUCAAUUUGGUUUUGGUUCCUUAUUUUCUUUUUAAUAUGCUUAUAUGGUAAUGGUUAUUGCUGUAGUUGGUGAACUUCAAUCAUAUUCCAUUCUAUUUGAUCUCAUAAACUUUAGCAUUUUUUGAUGUUCUUACUCAUGUGAUAUGUGUCAUUGUUCUCUCCACUCAAUGUAUAAUCUUUUGUAACUCAUCAAUUGUUACUAAUUGUGAUUAGCAUGUAAAUUUACAUUGUUCUAUUAUUUAUGCUAUGAUUUGUUUUCUUUUUCUAUCCAAUUCUUAUUGCAGAAUUGGUUUUAUUAACUUCUAUGAAGUGAAUUAUUUGCUCAAAGAAGAAACUCUUCAUCUCUAUUUACUAUGAUCGAUUCUCUUUCUCUAAAUCUCUCUUUUAAUUCUUAACACAUGAUAUAUUCUGAUGAUCAAUUAUAGAAUAUCUUCUCAGAUUCAUUGUUUUGCAUUUUCCUUUUUCUGUACCUUGUUUUUCAGGUGGCAUUGCUCUUGCUGCUGGUAUUGAGCAAUGCUGUUAGAAUUGAUGCAGAAGGUGGACAAUGUGUUUCAAAUCCAACAUUAGACCCAAGACCACACAGUGUCUCAAUUUCGGAGUUCGGCGCAGUUGGAGAUGGCAAAACACUCAACACUCUUGCAUUCCAAAAUGCCAUCUUUUAUCUCAAGUCAUUUGCUGACAAGGGUGGUGCUCAGCUAUAUGUACCACCAGGAAAAUGGCUCACUGGUAGUUUCAAUCUUACAAGCCAUCUCACCCUCUUUUUGGAAAAAGGUGCUGUCAUUAUUGGAUCUCAGGUAUUUUAGCUUUUCAUUACUUUUGUGUUUUUUAUACUGAGAGAUAAAUAAUUCAUGUUAAAAUUCCUAGCCUUUGGUUUUAAGUUUUAACCUUUUACAUGUUAUUCUUCUUUGUUUAGGAUCCGUCUCAUUGGGAUGUUGUUGCACCAUUACCUUCUUAUGGCCGAGGUCUUGAAGUUCCUGGUGGAAGAUAUCAGAGUUUGAUAAGUGGAUACAUGUUACAUGAUGUGGUCAUAACAGGUUUUUUCUACUUCCCAUACAACUUUUACCUUUGUCAUGAUUUUUUUAUUCUGGAAUGAUCUUUCAUAUCCUUUUGUGCUUGGUCAGGUAAUAAUGGAACCAUCGAUGGAACCGGAUCGGUUUGGUGGGACUUGUUUGACUCACAUUCCUUGAACUAUAGCCGUCCUCAUCUAGUUGAAAUUGUAGCAUCUGAAUUUGUGGUAGUUUCAAAUCUUACAUUCUUGAAUGCCCCUGCAUAUAGCAUCCACCCAGUUUAUUGCAGGUAAAUAUUAUGUGAUUGUUCGAGACAUUAUAUAAAAUGUCAUUUAAUUUGCAAACUCAUUGAUUUCGUUUAUAUGUAAUUUGAUGCAGCCAUGUACAUAUUCAAAAUGUUUCGAUUUCUGCUCCUCCAGAAUCCCCUUAUACGGUUGGUAUAGUACCAGGUUUGUAACAUAUUAUGGACUCUACUUUUGGCCCACAUUAUGAGAGUGACAUUGCUUCUCAAAUAUUCAGUACUUUAUAGAGCGUCAUUUAGCUAACGUUUGUGCACUACGCGUUUUCAGAUUCUUCAGAUAGUGUUUGUAUAGAAGAUUGUGUUGUAACCAUGGGAUAUGAUGCAAUUGCCUUAAAAAGUGGCUGGGAUGAAUAUGGUAUUGCUUAUGGCAGGCCCACCGAAAAUGUACACAUUAGAAAGGUGUAUCUUAAAGCAUUUUCCGGCUCUAGUUUAGCAUUUGGCAGUGAAAUGUCGGGUGGUAUUUCAAAUGUUCUUGUGGAGGAUGUUCAUAUUUUCAACUCGAAUAGCGGCAUUGAGUUCAGAACCAUCAAAGGAAGAGGUGGUUAUAUGAAAGAUAUUUUUAUGUCGGACAUACAAAUGGAGAAUGUCGAUACAGCAAUUUCUGCCACAGGCCGUUUCGGCUCUCACCCUGAUGACAAAUUUGAUCCAAAGGCACUACCACUUUUAGAUCACAUUACCUUGAAGGAUGUUACUGGUACAAACAUCACAAUUGCUGGAAGUUUUGCUGGAAUAGAAGAAUCUCCUUUUUCAAAUAUAUGCCUUUCAAACAUAACCUUGUCUACCAAUUCAGUUUCUACUAUUACUUGGGAAUGUUCAAACGUCUCCGGCUUUUCGGAUUCUGUGUCUCCGAAACCCUGUCCAGACCUUGAGAACCCUUCAAAUUCUUCUUCAUCAUGUUUUCCCUACUUGCUGAGUAUCACUGAAAGAAAAACUGCAGUGCUGUGAUUAUCAUUUCUCAAUAGAAGAUUCAAUAUUCUUGAGUACCUUGUUGCUUGAAAAAUCGAACAGCGAAUUGCAAUUGAACAUUAGGUCUCAUUCUUUUCAAUAAGACACUUGUCCUGAUUCUUUUUCAUCACUUAGACUUCAAUUCUUGUAUUUUCCUAUCAGCACAUUAUUUGUACAGGUUUAUUUCUUCAUUCAUGUGUAAGGAAAUUUUGGUUGUGCCACCACAGAACAAAAAAAAUGAAUAGUUUUUUUGCAAUAGUCCAUUGUUAUUUCACUGUAAAGUAUGUAGUAGAUUUGGUUAAUACUUCAAUUGCAGGAAAUUUCAACUUUAUGGCCAUGAAUAUAUCCACAUUUUAUUACUUAAUAGUGAUGUUACCAUUCUUAGUCUUAAAACACUACUCUAGUGUCAAAAAAUGUGCAUAUGAUUGUUCUUUUGUUUUCCACUCUUAUAUAUAUUUCAACAUAGAAAUUUAUGAUAUGGUACUAGGGUGGCCCAACCCUUAACUAGGGGUGGGGUAGGGCUCUUUAUAUUUCCCUGGAUCAGCUCUGUCAUGUAACUUGUAUUCAUAAUUUUGUAGCAAUGUAGGUACUUCCUUUAUAUUUGAAAAAUAUAGGUAGUUCUUUUCACAUAGAAAGAUAUUUUGAUGUUUUCCAUAUAUGUAAGAAUGUCACUGUCAUUAAGUAAAUUAUAUGAAUUUACUAGUAAGUUAAGUAUAUGACAAAAUGUGAAAAAAUCAAAAAUAUUUAUGGGAUGAAUUAAUACGUUACAAGCAUGAAAUGUAACUCCUACACAUUAAAAAAGACUUUGGUUUGAGAAUCAACAAUGAGAGGACUAGUAUUGUGUUAAUGCCCUAUUAUGUAACUGUGGCCAAAACCAUAGUUAGAUGGAUGAUGUUGUAUUAAUGCCCUAUUAUGCCCUGAGGUACUUGGUGACUCAUGGUUUGCAUUAUUCUCAUUAGUUGCUUGUGAUUGUGUUACUUUUGCCUCAGGUUGUGGUGUGUCUUUUGGUGGUGGAGUUUCUGUUGAUGGUGGUGGUUGUGCAUUUCCUUCAGGUUCUUUUGGUUGAGAUCAUGGAGACUCAUCAGGUUGUUCAAUAUUGCAUAUAGUUGUCAUUGUCCUUGUUUUCUUGAUUGCUUUCACAACUUUUUCUGGAUCUGCACACCCAAUUAUGCUUAUUUUUUGUUGGAAAUCAAUAUAGAUAUCAUAUAUGCCUAAAACAAAUAAAGGUUUGUUGUUACCUUAGCUUGCAAUAAUUGUAGAUGACACGAAAUAAUACUUAUUGGCUAAGGCACUUUAAGAUGUUUCGUGACACAUUUUUACUAUACUAUAGAACUGAUCUCGAAUACACCCACCACAAUAUGGCUACUAGUGCCGAUUCUCAAAAUUCUCAUAAUAUAACUGCCCAUGCCAAUUCUUUUCCCUUAAUACUAACUAUCAAUGCGUCGACAGAAAAGAUGAGGGAGAAAAAAAAGUUGAAUGAAAGCACAUUCAACUUGGGGCAAGCUAUAAAAAGGAGAGAAAACCUUUAUUUAUAACAUGUGAUUUUUCUCAAGUUCCUCAUCUAUCAAAUGUGGGACUUGAGAGUUGUUUUUUUUUCAAAAUUUUUCUCCGUGGGAAUUGUGAGUUUUUUAGAUUUUAUACAUAAAAAAUUCACUAAUGGCUUCCAAGAAACCAAAUUCCAACAGUUUAACAAAGAGUUAGUUACAUACAUAUGUUGCCGCAUAUAUAUGAAGUGAUAGGAAAAUCAUAUAACUUGUAACAUGUCACAUUCUUUCUUACCAUUAAUGCCAUUGAGUGCUUUCUUGACCUUCUGCAUGCAUCCAUUACAAUCCAUUCGGACAUGUAUCUCUAUGACUCGAGGUUUCUGCAUUUGAAUGGACUAGUCACUCUUAGAAUUCUUGGCAUUUAUAUUAAAGUUGAUAAAGCUAUGAUUGCAUUCACAUGCUAAUUAUUAUAGUAUAAGUGCAUGAAUUUUGAGUGCUAUACCUGUAAAUCAGGAACCAUGGUGCUGCCUGUGGAAUUAGUUGUACAUGAAAGUAGUAGUAGAAUAUGGCUCUGAAGAAUAUUGUGAGUGGCAUAUAUAUGUGCAAGGGAAGAAGAGAAUAUGUAGAAGGAAAAUAUGUAGGACAUGUUAGAAUCUCUUUUUUAGGGAGGGGAGAAUGGAAAAUAAAAGAGAAAUGGUAUUUGCUUGAUUGGUCCAUGAAUGUCUUUGUUAGGAAUAUUAGGCAUGGGAGAGGAAUGGGUUCAGGAAAGAGGGUAGGCAUAUUUUUUUGUGUGGUACUACCAAGGGUAUCCCCUCAAGUAAGAAACUAAUCUUUUUCGGGUUUUGUGGCUGCCCUUCCCAGUAAAUGUCGCUCUCAGGAAUCGAACUUUCAACCUUGGGAAUUCAGUGCCUUACACCACUAGACCAUCGCCUUGUUGAUAGUAGGUAGGCAUAUAUAUGAGUCUUAAUUUGUAAUCCCAAGUCAAAGGGAAUUUGCUUUAUGAUGUAUAGCAUCUUGGCCAUGUAUUUGUGAGAAUAUGAAAGGUAGGGUGGUGAUAGAACAUCAAAAAGAAGAUGAUGGUUUAAUGCACGAGGCUUCCGGCUAGUAGAAAAGACUUAGGCCGAAGUACCUUGUAUUAUAAAACUGAAGUUGUGCAAAAGAUGUGGCUUAAUUUGUUGAUGACAAAAGUUUCAAUGAUCACUAUAUGCUUUUUCAUGUUGUUCCUAGAAACAUUUCAAAAAUAAAUAAAAUUAAGUUGUUCCUGGAAAAAUCUAUAAUCUCAUUAUCAUGAACUGUAUAAUCUAUAAUGUAAUGUUAAGUUGAAAGUUUAAAGAUGCUAUAAUGUAAUGUGGGAGCUAGCCAUGUGUGAAAAGAUGGCACAAUGUUCAUAUUCAUCAGAUUUUCUCUUAACUUGUUUGAAUAUGUUACCAAAUUAUUCUGAAAUUUAGUAAUCUUUGUGAAGCAAACAAUUCCAUAAUGUUUUUCCUUGAAAAAAAAUCAUCUUUCUCAUGGUGGUUACUGCCUCUAAUAUGUAGAUUCUUUAAUGAAGUUGCUUGAUGCUAAUGGUUUUUGGUUAAGCCAUUCACAUGAUUGGUAGAAUUUGGGUAUUAUAGAAAACUAUUAUGGGACCAUUUUGUGAGAUGAGAUCCUAUAAAAAAAGGUUUUGGGUGGGAAAGAAAACUUUGCAUAAGUAAAGCUUUAUGCAGAAAAUGUCAACAGAAUAUAUGUAUUUAUGGCAUUGUUUAUGCUAUGAUACAAAAGUUAUAUCACCCUCUACCCAAAAAAACUAUAUCAAGUUAUCAACAUGUUUGUAUUUGUUUACUAUUAAAUUUUGGGUUAGGUUUCAUUCAUUUAUUUUAUGUUUGUUGUAGAUGUAAUAAACAAACAUCCUUAGUAUGUUAACAAGACCUGACCAGACAUAAAAGUAGCACACAAAAAAUUAAUUCAUCUAGUGUUUGAUAUAUAUGCUUUGAUUAUGUCUGCAUGCUAUGUUAUUUGGUGAUUAGUUAUGGUGCCUAAUCUCUAUGCCUCUCUCAUAGACACAUAAUUAGAAUCAUCAUUAUUUCAACCAAAUAUGAACAUAAUAGAAGAAUUCUUCUAAAUAAAGUUAGGAGAGUGGGCCAAGACUAUCAUCGGACAAAGAUUACCUGUCUUAAAUGGUAUCUCGGACUAAUUAGAUAUUGCCACAUAAAUAAAAUAAUUUGAUUUAAAAUAAAAAGUAACAAAAAAUAACAUUCUGAUUGGCUUGGAAUACCAUUUAGAUAUUGUUUAGGACAUGUGAUCUCUAUCCUCACUCUACUUUUUGGUUGAAAAAGUUGUGCACUUCUGUAAAGGGCAAUAAGUGACAAGUUCUGAACUUUAUCAUGAGGAAUAUACAAGGUGGAUUUGCAUGCUUUGUGUUAUCAUGUUUUUGUCUGAAUACUAUGCAAGGUAUCUAAAAUACAAAAUGAAAAUGAAAAACUCAAAUGUAGACAAAUUUAUCUUUGGUGGCCUCCACAAAUUCCAGCUGUGAAGCAGAAGAAAAUAAUAUUAAUUAUGAACUAUAACCCUCUUCAUGUAUAUUGAGAAAAUUUGACUUUCUUGGUUACUCUGAAUUUAUCAUAGAUGGUUAAACAUUCUUGAUAUCAAACUUUGGCACUUUUUUGGUACAAUAGAAAAAAUUUUGGCCCUUUGGUAUGCAUUUACUGAAAAACAAAAAAUAAAUAAAGGUUUGCUAUUUUACUUUAAUAAUAGCUCGAAGGAAGAAGAUCUUUUGCUUCUCAAAUUUUCAAUUCACUUUAAUGUCUGGAUGCAUAUUUAAUAAAUUUGCUAUAGAAACAUUUAAGCCUCAUAUUGCAAUUUUUGGUAUUAUUAAGGGUAUUCCUUUACUUUUUGGGUAAGGAACUAAUUUAUUUUAGGGUUUGUAGCUAUCCCUUCUAACAAAUAUUGCUCAUAUGAAUCAAACUCUCGAUUUUAGGAUCUAAUAAAACCUUACACCACUAGAUCAACACGUUGUUGUUCUUGCAAUUUGUAACAAAGGCCUGUCACCUUUACUAUUUGCAAUCAACACCAAAAAAUAGUGUGUAUAGCAGACAAAAAAUAGGAAGGUCCACUCCUCUAGUGGGGUUGGACCAUAAAAUGGUUCCAAGACCACACUGAAGUACUGAACCAUAUAACCUCAGACUUCAUAAGUUUUAAUGGUUGAAGCUUAUAGUACACAACUUUGAUUACUUGUAUAAGAAAAUUUCUGACCUUAUGGAACAUUAUUUAUUUUUUAUUUUUCCCAUGCUUUUAGACAUAACCUAUGGUUUAUCACUCUAUAGCAUCUAAAAUGUAUCCAAGUUUGUCAAUAAAAUUGAAAAGCUGUGUCUUAAUUCAUAAUUUUGACUACCUCAACAUAAAAUUAGCAAACAACUCACACAUACAUAUAAGUUUUACUACUAGCCAUAUCAUAUUUGGCUUCAAAUCAAACUAUAGGCUAAACUGAAAGUACAUAAUGAUAUAAUAUGAUAAUAGGGUGCAUCAUAAGAUACCUUGAGGAUAGUUGAGGCUUCUUCUCUAGCAUUCUUGAAAUCUUCUUCUUUGAUCUCAACUCCUUCUUUGGGAUGAUACUUACUAACAUUCUUGGUCUUGCUACCUCCCUCUGCAUUAGGCUCAAACUUUAUCUCAUGUGAAAUUGAAUCUACCUUUUCCAAUACACUAUCCCCUUCAAUUACUGUGUAGCUAUAUGCCAAAUUCUCUUUGUCUAUUGCAUCAAUUCUAUGCUUCAAGUGUUUUAUGUUAUCACCUGCAACAUUGAAGAGAAAGCCAAUAAUUAAUUCCUGCUAAUUAUCUCACUAGAAUCUAGAGUAAGAGUGACUAGUAGGGCUCGCAAUGAACCAAACCAAUUCGGUAUUCGUCGAAACUUGACUCGUUGUUUAGCUCUAUAAACUUGGUUCAUUAAUUAAAUGAGUCUAACUUGAGCUAGAAAUUGAGCUCGUUAAAUAAACGAGCCGAACUUGAGCUAGAUAGAUAUAGUUUGACUCGUUAAGUUCAUAAGCUAGUUCUAUAUAUAUAUAAACUAUUUCUUUAUGUUUAUUGUUAUUAUACUAUAACUCAUGCAUUAUCUUAUUAUAUUUAUUGUCAUUAUAUAUAUAUGUAUGUAUAUAAACACAUUUAUAUUUGUAUAAUAUAAUAUUUUGGAGUAUUUUUAAAAAAAUGAAUUAAUUAUUUGAGUUGUCCAAAUGAAUCAAUUUAUACUAACCUGAACAGUUCGUGAACUUUAACCGAGCCGAAAUCGAGUUAAAAAUUAAAAUAAUUCAUAUCGAACUCGAGUCGAGUUUUGAGUUGAACAAAUCCUUAUCGAACUGAACUGAGCUGAGCUCUUAUUCGACUCGAUUCGGCUCGUAUUCAGCACUAGUGAGCCUUAGAGGUAUGUCCAUAAAUAUAAAAUUUGAAAAAAAGUGAUAAGUAAUGUGAAAUGAUGCAACUAACUAGCCUUCAGCAAUGGUUAUCUCUUGAAUGGUUCCAGGUCCUCCAUUGCCUUCAACCACUUCAACUUUCUUUAUAGCCUGAGGAAGAAGCUUAGGGAUGAGGUUAUGAGCAUCAAGGAUCAAAGCCUUAAACAAUCUCCUUGUUUGGACAAUGCUAGUGGACUCAUCACUGAAUGUUAGGACAACCAUGUUUCUUAAGAACUACAAGAUAUAGCUACAAAUUUGAAGUAAUGUAAUAUUAUAAGGAAUAUAUGUAGUGGUGUGACAUAAUAUAUGUGGUUGUAUUUAUAGAUCUAAAGUAUAAGUUAUUGAUGCUGCAUUUGACAUUAUUUCUUCAACUACUAGAUUGCCAAAAAAAGGUGCUUGUCCCAUUAUUAUACAGCAAGGUAGGUAUAGUCCUCCCAUGCAGAUAGAUUUUUAAAGUAGACACAUUAUACCAUAUAUUAUGUUCAAAAUAUUCAAGUUGUUAUUUAUAUGUAUAUGAAAACAAUGAUAUAUUGAGGUAUUGAAUCUCAUGGGCUCAGUGUACAAUGAUUAAUAAUUUCUGUUGCAAGAAAAGUAAUUGAAGCUAGUGCCCGAAAAAUAAACUUGUGUGCCAAAGGGGCUUAAAAGUCGUCCUAUUGAAUAGCCAACAUUUAUGGUUGUGGUAUUUAUUUAUCGACUCUAUAGAUUACAAAUAAUUCAUAUCCUCACCUAAACAUUGAACGUAGAACUUUUUAGCUCAUUUCUUCAUUUAUUUUAUGUUGACAUAUUUCAUGUAAUUUGCAGACUUAAUUUCUACUCUUCCAUUUCUUCUUCUAUGUCUUAGGACUUAAGCACAUGUUGAGACUCAGCCCAAAAAAAUUAGUCUACUAAAUGGAAGAGUCUUAUGAGUUAAAUAUCAUCAGUUUAUUAUUUUACUCCAUGUGAGAUUUCUAACAUUGUCACCCCUUUAAGGGUCGACGUCCACAAUGACUUUUACUCUAUCGUCAUUGAUCUAAGCCCACAAUGACUUUUACUCUAUUGUCAUUGAUAUGAUGGUAGUCUUUCCUCUUUUGGCGGUUUCACUCACUAUCAAUAUUCACUAAUAUACCUUAAUCCAACUUAUAUGCAUGUAUUUCCCUAACACAACUCUCAAUGAAAGCCACCAUUUGUUUGGACUUAAGCACAUGGGAUCCAACUAUAUUAGGCAAGAGAUUCUUAUGACUUAAGUACCACAUUGAAUUUGUUAUUUUACUCAACGUAAAACUCCUAAUAUUGUUCCAAUACCCUCGAGUUGAAUGAUAAUUAAGUAAAGCUAAUAUUUACAUUCAAAAUUUUAAUCCCACAUGUAAAUUUAGUUUGGAAUACAAUUGAUUUCCAUUAUCCUGGUUUGCAAAUUUCCAUUUCAAUGAUAAUAUAAUAUUACAAAACUUGGUGUAUUUUUGUCCACCAAAACCAAGGUCAAACCGUUUCUUAUUAUAUGUAUUUGAAAAAAGACAACAAAAGAAAAAAAGAAAAAACGCGGCAAAUUUUUAUUUCAGUCUUCACCGGAAAUCAGAAACAGUAAAGCUACUAGGGUUGAAGAACAAGAAACCGCGCCGUUCGCCGCCGUCGACCACGCAGGCGCCGCCAUCUUCCACCUCCUUCUUCGCAAGUUUCAUAUCGUAGCUGCAAUCUCCUCCGUUAAUCGUCGUCGAUCAGCAACUCAUCAUACCCAUCUUCUGUAAGUCAUUCACUCAUCAAAAUUGAAUCUUAUUUCAUUUUUACCUUCAUUACUCGAUAUAGAAACUUGGGUAUAGUUACAAUUGGUUUUUAAUUUUAUUAUGCGAAUUUCCAUUUAGUGUUAGGGUAGAAAGAAAGAGCUUUGAAACUGAAAUCAUAUCAAUAUCCAAAUUACUCAGCUCUGAAGAGAAACCCAUGUUUUUAAAUUGAAGAUAAAGCUAAAAAGGUUUCAACUUUCCAUUUGAUUACUGUAGCGUGCUUUCUUGAAAAGUUUUGAUUUUUUUCAUUUUCUUUUGAUUUUACAUUCUUAUAAUUUCCUUGCAGGAUGGCAAGUUCUUCUAUGGAUUUCUCUCAGUUUGGAAUUUCAAUGGAGGUGCAUUCCUUUAUUUAUAAAAAAAGAAUGGUUUCUAAGUGUUUUGGAUAGUGUUAAUUAUGUAAAAAUGAUAAUUUGACUUGUCCUAAGUGUUAUGAGAAAGUGUAUAUAUGAAGAGGUUUUUUUUUAUAUACAGGAAAAGGAUAAGCUUGUUGAAGAAAUAAUCCGCUAUAUGCUUUUUAAGACUCAUGGACACUCAGGCUGUCCGAUUAAGAGGGACGAACUCACUCAUCUAGUUACAAAAAACUAUAAACAGCGUAACCUUCCUACCUUUGUGAUCAACGAGGCUAAAGAGAAGCUUUCCAGUAUAUUCGGCUAUGAAAUGAGAGAGCUUCAAAGGUCCCUCCCAUCUUCCAAAACACAGGCAUUGCCUUCUCAACAAAGUGAGCAUGAUUCGGUUAUUCUCUUCUCAUGUUACUUUACCUGGCAAGGCGGAGCACUUCUAGUAAUAUUUGUUUAAGAGACUCCGAUCGUUUUCUUUUGUGAAAUUUUAAGGACAACUUGAGCAUGGGUUUAUAUGCAGAGAAGGAUUGAACUAUAAUGUGGGAUGCAUUGCUCAUUCAGUUGUAUGACUAGUGUAUCUUUUUACUCCGGGAUGUGAUUUGAUGCGUGCUAAUUUCUCCUGGUUGUUAUGAGUCAUAUAGAUGUUGUGAAUUUAGAUUUUCAUUAAAUUUGGUGUAUUGUUUUUUUCUUCACAAUCAGCUACUGCCUUCAUGAGUCAUAAGCAUAUACUUCUCUGCUUAUAUUCUGCAACCCGACUGAAUACAUUUAUAUCAUCCUACACUGGUAUCUUCAAUUAGUUAGUUAUGGACAACCAAGACACUUUUUGACUUUAUCUUGUUGCUUUUGCUCAUAUAAAGAUUCAUUUGAUGAAUUGUGUCCUUGUAAUACGUUAACCUUGCAAUCGAUAGAGAUUAGAUUAUGCUCGGUUUUCAAUUAGCAUUGUUUCUAAGUCAUUAAAUAUGUUGUGCAUAUACACAUAGUGGGAAUAAGUAAGUUGAUACUAAAAGGGUGGCCCGGUGCAUGAGACUCCCACCUACUGGGAUUUGGGGAAGGUAGAUGUACGCAACCUUACCCUAGCAAGCAAGAGGCUCUUUCCCAUAUUUGAAUCCAUGACCUCUAGGUCACAAGGCAACCAACCUUAUUGUGAGCCGAGGCUCAAUCUCUAAUAAGUAAAUUGAUACUAAACUACUAAAUUGCUUUUACUUGUUCAGAUUUGUCUGCAUUCUCCGGAGUUCUCUAACUAUGUCCUAGUUGUUAGCCUCUACAUUUUCCUCUAAUUAUUUUUUGUAUGAUGUGCUUUCUCCCAGGUGUUGCAGAUGCAAAAUCAUAUGUUCUCAUAAGUCAACUUCCUUCUGAUGUAUAUGAAAAAUAUGUUGUAGAUGUGAAUACUGCACACCUGUCUGGAUUCACUUUUGCUGUGGUUAGUGUUGUGUAUCUUGCUGGUGGCAAAAUGCCAGAAGGUAUGAUUGCAAAUUUUGUGUCAUGACUCGUAAAGCUAAAAUUCUAUAUGCAUGGAUAUGCACCUGCUAAACUUAUGCAAGUCAACGGGGAUAUGUUAAGGUCCAUAGAUAAAAAGGGUGGCCCCGUGCACGAGGCUCCCACAUAGUGGAGUUUAGGAAGGGUAGAUGUAUGCAGUGACCUUACCGUGGCGUGAGGUCCAUAUAUAGAUGCAAUAAAUCAUAUAUUCUGGCUUUUACAGUUUUGCUUUGCCGAGGUUUAAAAUUUUAAUGGCAAUUCUCCUUCUGCCUUAACAUAAUGGAACUUUGGUGAGAUUAUUGUAGAAAGUCUCUGGAGCCAAUUAAAGAAGAUGGGUUUAAGUGCUGAUGAUAAAAACCAUACUGUUCUUGGAAACAUUCAACAGGCAUUAGAACUUCUUGUUCAGCAAAGGUGAGAAAUUUUUAAUGUUUAUGAUUUUAGAUUACAAGGGUUAUUGCAUUUUGUGGCACCUCUAAUUUGCACUAAAAGGCAGUGAAGUAAUUUUGAUCCAUCUUUUGAUUUAUAGGUACUUACAGAAGAACAAAGUUAGUGGUCCUGAAGGCAAUAAUAUAUAUUAUGAGCUUGCUGAGAGAGCUUUAGAUGGACCCAUCAGUGACAAGAUCAAGGAAUAUACAUCUCAGGUAGUGCUUUAGUUCUGCCUUUAUUUAUUCAUUUUUUAAGUUCAUUUAACAAUUCAAUAUUAAGCAAUUAAAUAUCUUAUCCUUAUGAACUUAUUUUGGGGUAGCACUUUUUUUUUGUCUAUGGCUGGCAUGCCUUUAUAACAAGUGCAUACUCCAAGGAUUUAACUUGGUUCUUUUUCGGGGGAGCUUUAGAGAUAAAUGCUUUGUCAAAGAACAUGAUAUUUUAUAGAACAUUAUGAUCUUGUUCGAUCCGUGUAACCAACCCUACCUAGUAAGAUUAAGACUUGGUUGCUAUUGUUGUUGAUACUAAACAUAGUGUAGUCACAUUGGAAAAACAGCUAAUGCAAACAAAACACAAUAUUUGGAUGAUUCUUCUGAUGUGUUUUACUAGGAGAAGUUUUAAAGGAUUUGUUAAGUGUAGACUAUCUCUGACAAAACACUACAGUGGUAACCUAUAGAUGAACUUGAAACAAAUGAUAACUCAAAUAUGUUAGAUUUAUUUAAGCAAACUAAGGAAAAAUGCAAGUGUUUCAAAAUGGUGUAGGGAUUACUGUCUAUAGUACCCAUUUAUCUUCAAUCUUCUCCAAAAAGCAUGUUAUCUUUGUUGGUUUCAAAUACAAUUAACACUAAACAUUUUCAUUACAGAUUGUGAGAGACAAUAUCUCAACGGCUGCAGCAUAAAAGUUUUUGCUAGCUCUUCAGUGUCUCAUGGGACUAUGGUUUGAUUUUUGUAUAAUGAUUUCUACACCAAAGGAUUAAAAUGGGAAAAUCUUGUAUUGGGUAAGUGAUGUAUGGAUAUAUUUGUUUAUAUGUGCUGAUAUGUAAAUUAUUUUUAAAUAUAAAGUAAACGUAUGAAACUUACUUUGAUUAUAUACUAUUUAUUAACAUUAUCAUAUUAUAACUUUUUAGCUACUCCCAAGUGAAAUGAAGAUUUCUGGAUACUCCAUGUGGCCAUGUUUCUAUAAUAAAUUAAUUCUGAAUGUUUCUGGUGGAGCACGUAUUAUUUCUUGGAGGGUACGUAAGAAAUGAAUGAAGAUAGAUUAUAUAUAAUACUUUUAUUAUGAUUAUCCUGUUAUCAUAUUUUUACAACUUUUAUGAUUUAAUUAUUAUUAAUUUCACUUUUAUGUUGACACAUAUACUUCUGACUACCUACGAAUGUUGGUUCAAGUGGUACAUGCUUAAUUUCCCUUAAGCAAGGUCUCGGAUUCGAGUCUUGUGGAUGGAAAAAAUAUCCGUUGGGAGAGUUAGCCUCACAUACAUGUGGAUGUUCAUGGCUUGGACAAGAUUGUGUGAGGAUACAUGUGGGAAACCAAAAAAUAUGGUAUAUAGUCUUAUUAAAUAGGAUAAAUGAUAACUUUGAUUAUAUGUUGUUUCUAAAAAUUAUUACUAUUGGUUGAAAAUCAACUUCGAACAAAGCUUAGAAUUUGGUUAGAAGCCAAAUGAUUCAUGUCUUUACAAAGUCACUGCUACCCAAAAAAUAUGUUCCAACCAUAAUUUGAGUCCUUUCUGAAUUGGAAGUUAUUAUAACACUUGGAAGUGAUCAAUUAAUUUGAGUCUUGAGAGAUCAAAGUAUAAGAUUAAUGAUAUAUCAUCUUGUAUAUGAAUCAUUCAAAGCAUAAUGUUGCUUGACCCAAAACAAAAAGGUAGAAAAAUAUACAAACACAAAUCUUAUUCAUUAUUUAUUGCAUAAUACAAGUGUUGCAAAAACAUAAACACCAGAUCAAACAUACAAGGCAAUUCAACUGAGCCACAUGUAUAUAUACAAGGGCUCUUGUUACAAAAACCAAACAACCACAUACAAAAACUUACUAUGAUAAUUAUUUGCAUGGAUCAACCAAAAGUAGUAGUGUUUUUGCGAGAAUCACAUCAAGCUCGGGUCCUGGAAAGUUAUAAGUGUAAGUACAUCAAGUUUGGAAUAAUAGAUAGCAAUAUUUUUAAAACAAACACACAUAUUGGGUACUGCUGGAACUCGAAAGUUUAGAUCAUGCUUGGGGCACUAGUAAUCAGGAUGUGCCAAAACAUAACCCUCAACAGCCUUAAAAAGUCCAAUUCCCUUGAAUUUUGAUUCAUCACGCACAGUUUCUGAUAACACAUCACCUUUGGUAUGAAAUUUCACAUUAAUCUUACCAAUGGAUCCACCAUGAGGGCCAGGUAAAAUCUUACUCUCAAAUGUGAUUUUCUCCAAACUUUCAUCCAACCCUGCACCUCCAAUUAUGCUGUAGUCAUAUGACAAGUUAGCUUCAUCUAUUGCAUCAACUUUGUGCAGCACGAAGCUAGUGUGACCAUCUGCAUAAUUUCCACCACAAAUUCUAUUUAGACAUACACAUGGAGCUAACUAUUUCAUUACCCAUAAAAAUGUAUGCACCGUUGGGAGAGUUAGCCUCACAUACAUGUGGAUGUUCAUGGCUUGGACAAGAUUGUGUGAGGAUACAUGUGGGAAACCAAAAAAUAUGGUAUAUAGUCUUAUUAAAUAGGAUAAAUGAUAACUUUGAUUAUAUGUUGUUUCUAAAAAUUAUUACUAUUGGUUGAAAAUCAACUUCGAACAAAGCUUAGAAUUUGGUUAGAAGCCAAAUGAUUCAUGUCUUUACAAAGUCACUGCUACCCAAAAAAUAUGUUCCAACCAUAAUUUGAGUCCUUUCUGAAUUGGAAGUUAUUAUAACACUUGGAAGUGAUCAAUUAAUUUGAGUCUUGAGAGAUCAAAGUAUAAGAUUAAUGAUAUAUCAUCUUGUAUAUGAAUCAUUCAAAGCAUAAUGUUGCUUGACCCAAAACAAAAAGGUAGAAAAAUAUACAAACACAAAUCUUAUUCAUUAUUUAUUGCAUAAUACAAGUGUUGCAAAAACAUAAACACCAGAUCAAACAUACAAGGCAAUUCAACUGAGCCACAUGUAUAUAUACAAGGGCUCUUGUUACAAAAACCAAACAACCACAUACAAAAACUUACUAUGAUAAUUAUUUGCAUGGAUCAACCAAAAGUAGUAGUGUUUUUGCGAGAAUCACAUCAAGCUCGGGUCCUGGAAAGUUAUAAGUGUAAGUACAUCAAGUUUGGAAUAAUAGAUAGCAAUAUUUUUAAAACAAACACACAUAUUGGGUACUGCUGGAACUCGAAAGUUUAGAUCAUGCUUGGGGCACUAGUAAUCAGGAUGUGCCAAAACAUAACCCUCAACAGCCUUAAAAAGUCCAAUUCCCUUGAAUUUUGAUUCAUCACGCACAGUUUCUGAUAACACAUCACCUUUGGUAUGAAAUUUCACAUUAAUCUUACCAAUGGAUCCACCAUGAGGGCCAGGUAAAAUCUUACUCUCAAAUGUGAUUUUCUCCAAACUUUCAUCCAACCCUGCACCUCCAAUUAUGCUGUAGUCAUAUGACAAGUUAGCUUCAUCUAUUGCAUCAACUUUGUGCAGC
rnacentral:lncRNA from 1 species